GAAAUUAGUGGUUACAGGUGGAAUCCUCGGUGCUUUGCUACUUGUUCUACUGAUGAUUGCAGCAUUUCGGGUAUACAGCGCUGAUAGGAAGGAAAAAGAGAGUCAAUUAAGAAUUGAAAGAUUCUUGGAGGAUUACAAAGCACUCAAACCAAGCAGGUAUUCGUAUGCAGAUAUUAAGAGGAUUACAAAUCAAUUCAAGGACAAGUUGGGCGAAGGAGCCUAUGGAACUGUCUUCAAAGGAAUGCUCUCUUCUGAAUUCUUUAUUGCUGUCAAAGUCCUCAACAGUUCUAAGGGAGAUGGGGAAGAGUUCAUAAACGAAGUGCGAACGAUGGGUCAUAUCCACCACGUCAACGUGGCUCGCUUGGUUGGAUUUUGUGCUGAUGGAUUUAUACGAGCUCUUGUUUACGAGUUCUUCCCCAACGGUUCCCUGCAGGAUUUCAUUUCAUCCGCAGGUAGUAAGAAUUCCUUUCUUGGUUGGGAUAAGCUGCAAGAUAUUGCCCUAGGCAUAGCCAAAGGAAUUGAAUACCUUCACCAGGGAUGUGAUCUACGAAUCCUGCAUUUCGAUAUCAAACCCCAUAACGUGUUGCUAGACCAAAACUUCACUCCAAAAAUUUCUGAUUUUGGUUUGGCCAAGUUAUGUUCCAAGGAUCAAAGCUUGGUGUCCAUGACUACAGCGAGGGGGACCAUUGGCUACAUUGCACCUGAAGUGUUCUCCAGGAAUUUCGGAAAUGUGUCUUACAAGGCAGAUGUUUAUAGCUUUGGAAUGCUGCUGCUUGAGAUGGUAGGAGGAAGGAAGAAUAUUGGUGUAACCAUAGAUAACAAUACAGAUGAAAUUUACCAUCCACAGUGGAUUUAUAAUCUUCUAGAGGAAGGGGAUGACCUACGAAUCCAUAUUGGGGAAGAAGAAGAUGGUAAAAUUCCAAAGAAACUUGCAAUUAUAGGGUUAUGGUGUAUCCAAUGGCACCCGUCGGAUCGUCCUUCCAUGAAAACAGCGGUUCAAAUGUUAGAAGGAGGGAGGAGAAAGCUUGACUGUGCCGCCUAAUCCCUUCAUGCCUACAGGUCCUACAACUAGAAAUGUAAGACGCCUAGAGCUAGAAGCAAUUGCUGAAUUAGAGUAAAAUGUAUACGCAAAUGUAUAGUAACAUUCGCAUUGAAUGUGUAAUGAUUCAAACCUAAGGGAUAUUUUGAUAACCAUUUCGUUUUGGUACCAAACAAAAGAAGUUUGUUUUCUCUCCUUGUUUAAGCAUUAGAUGCCAAUUAUUGUUUAUCAUUUUUAAAUUUAUAUUUUGUUACAGUAGAAGCCUAGAAGGAAAUCGAGCACUGGACUUACCAAAUUCUAACUCGUUUCUACACACCAAGAGCUUGAUGAUUUCGGCUCUUAUUUAUAGUAUUUAAGCUAUAAGCCGUGACAAUAAUUAGAGCACUAUCAUUUGUUGUGAGCUUCAACUGGUUAGCAUUUUUGUAUGUUUUAAACUUUUAAUUAGAAUAUAUAUUUCAUGUAGACUUAUCUUGCCAUAAAGCAUGUCAUCCCCUCCCAAGUUUUUCUCUUCGCGUUGAGUUUGGGAUACGAAAACUUGCCAAACAAAGUGGAUUGAUUAGUAACCGAAGCUUAUUAUUCGACUAAAUAUUAUUUGGAAUUUUAAUUAAAAGAAACAAUAUGAAUCGUUUUUGUUUGAUUUGAAAACUAUAAAAUGAGGAGAUUAAAUUGUUAGUUGUUAGGAGUAGAGAAAUUGGUAGAGAUCGAAUUCAUACAAGAAUGUAUAGACAUUAUUGUGCUUUGUCACAAGGAUAAAUCACAUAAAACAAAAUGUAGUACUUUGAGGAUGGAAGAAACUUCAUGGAUGACGGGUAAUCAACACAAUAUGGGUGGGGAUGCAGAGGUGACGCGGAAGGAAUUGGCGGGCUGGUGGAAGUGGGUUGUGGCAUGCAGAGAGAGUGGGGUUGGGGACGCAAGAGAUUGCGUAGAAGGUAGAGGCGGGCGUGAGGGUGACGUGAGGGCAAGGGAAGUAGCAAACCGUGUGGGCUGCUGUGGUUGAUCCACUAGGGUGGCUGGAUAGCCUUUUUGACCAAAUUAUAAAGCGCAUAGACUUUUUGACCAAGAGGAUAGUCAACAAAUAUGCAACGUUUUGCACGGGUAUCAAAUUUAUGAGUGGGAUGUGUAAGAACCAAUAAAGCCUCCUAGAGAUCUAAGUCAAGUUAAAUAAACCACGAAUAACCAAAACAAUUAAUAUACUACAAGUAUGAAAUAUAAACCAACUUGCAGCAGUAAUAGAUGAAACCAUGAUCAAACAAGUAGUAGACCUUCUCCUCUCUGUCAAAACCAAUAAUACUCAAACUAACAAUAGGUCUUAGUUCGAUAAUGAGCGUAUGUUUUGUAAGAGCAGAGGCUACUAUUUAUAUACAAUCAAUCUAUGUAAUUCUCCUAUUAGAAUCUUUAUUCAACACUGAAUAAGUUUACCUUAUUGUAUACAAAGUGUUAAAACCAGUUUUCAUACUUUCAUUCAAUCCUUCACAAAUAAGGAUUAAGUAUACCUUUUUACAUUGGGACUUUUCUAUACGGAUCUGAAACAAAUAGUAGGCCUUAGGAAUUAUAAUCAUGAUCAUAUUCUUACAUUCUCCCACUUGAUCAUGACCCAAAACCAUCGCACAACAAUUCAAAUCAUUAUAGAAGUGAUCACUAAAUGUCAAUGAAAAAUUACUUCAUCACAAACAAUCUAUCAAUGCAUUUCAAAGUACUGAAUCCAGAAAUUCACACUCUUGAUACAAUACAGAGCUAAUUUCAAAAUCACAGAUACUUAAUCUGCACCUUUGUAACAUUGUGAACCAACUGAUUAAAGACAAACUCAAAACAAGUUUGCUCCCACUUUUGAAGCCAAAACAUUUAAUAUCAACACAUGAUACCAAAUCGUAAUCAUCUCAAUAUUCAAACCGCUUAAAUAACAUGAUUCGUAAUCCAAGUAAUUACUUAAACCAAACUCUUGAAAGAUCAUAAGUAAUACUAUGAACAACACUUUAUAAUUCAGCCAAUUGCUUUAUCAAAUAAAAAACUGACUUUAAAGCAUUGUAAGAACCAUAAAACAAAAUUUUGUCUUCUAGAACAAUUAAUCACAGAUAAUCUGGAAAAAUUGAACCCAAAUGAAAACAUUCGAUUAUUCAAAACUAGCUAAAACAUAAAACUAGUUGAAACAAAAUAAUUGAAACAAAACUAACUAAUAAACCUACAAAGAUGUCAUCACCUUUAAUACUUCUGUACCAGCAACUACUCCCACUGAUCAAAAGAUUCCAGCACUCCCAUUCGAGUAACAUGAGCUUUGAAGACUCCAAUUGGUAAAGCUUUAGUCAAAGGAUCUGCAACCAUGAGAUUUGUACUAAGAUGUUGCACUUCUAUAGUUCCUUUCUUUACCAUCUCCCAAACUUUCAGGAAUUUUACAUCCAUUAGUCUACUAACAGAAUUCCUCUUAUUGUUUUUAGAGAAAAACACAGUUGAAGUGUUGUCACAAAACAUCUUCAUCGGCUUUUGAAUUGAAUCCAUUAACUUCAACUUACUUAUGAAAUUCUUGAGCCAAUUAGCUUGCUUGCUGCCUUCAAAACAGGCUACAAAUUCUGCUUCCAUGGUGGAUGUUGUUAUGAUAGAUUGCUUAGAACUUUUCCAUGAAAUAGCUCCACCUCCAAGCAUAAAGACAUAACCUCCAGUGGAUUUUCUUUCAUCUAAGUCUCCAGCUAGAUCUGAAUCAGUAUAUCCAGUGACUUCUAGAUGUGGAUUUCUGCCAUAUAUGAGCAUGAACAACUUGGUCCGUUGCAGAUAUCUCAAUACCUUCUUCGCCGCAGUCCAAUGAGCUCCACCUGGAUUUGAUUGAAACCUAUCCAAGAUGCCAACAAUGAAGGCAAUAUCAGGUCUCGUACAAACAUUUGCAUACAUCAAACUACCCACCAAAAAGGCAUAAGGUUUGUCUCUCAUCUUUUCCUCUUCAAUUUCACUCUUGGGACAUUGUGCUCUGGUGAAUAUAUCACCUUUAUUGAUAGGAACGUUGCCUCCUUUGCAAUGCUCCAUGUUGAACCGAGUUAGCACUCUAUCAAUAUAACCCUUUUGAGAUAAACCCAAAAGUCUCCGCCUUCUGUCUCUCACAAUCUCUAUCCGAAGAACAUAGUGUGCUUCACCAAGGUCCUUCAUUUCAAAAUUAACACUAAGCAUGGACUUAGUGUUCUGCAGUAAUUGAGAACUAGAACUAGCCAGUAGUAUGUUAUCGACAUAUAGCAUCAUUAUAAUGAAAUUUGGUCCACUGAACUUGAUAUACAUGCAAUCGUCUAACUUAUUUUCAGUGAAACCAUGAGCUGUAACUACUUGAUUUGAGAUACCAUUGCCUUGAAGCUUGUUUGUGACCAUAAAUUGACUUAUUUAAUUUACAAACCAUAUCUUCCUUCCCCCUUUGAGCAAAUCCAAUUGGCUGCCUCAUAUAAAUAUCUUCUUGUAGCUCUCCAUUAAGGAAAGCCAUCUUGACAUCCAUCUGAUGCAGCUCUAAAUCGAAAUGCGCAGUCAAAGCCAUUAUGACCUUCAUGGAAUCUUUUGAUGAAACAAGUGAAAAAGUAUCGUUGUAGUCAAUACCUUCUCUUUGAGUGAACCCUUUUGCAACUAAUCGAGCUUUGUACCUUUCAAUUCUACCUUGAGAGUCUCUUUUCGUUUUAUAAACCCACUUACAACCUAUAAGCUUGAUUUUGGAAUUAGAUUCUACCAAUGUCCAGACUUUGUUUUUGCUCAUCGAUUCCAAUUCCUCAUUCAUUACAUUGAUCUAUAAGAUUGAUUGUGAGCUCUUUAUAGCUUGAUUGUAGGUGAUGGGAUCAUCAAUAUCACCUAUGUCAUACUCAGAUUCUUGCAAAUAGACAUAAUCAUUUGAUAUGGUUGACUUCUUUGUUCUUGUCGAUUUUCUUAAUUCUGGUUCAGCUCGAGGUGGUUCUGAACUGUCAACUUGAUGUUGUGUUUGCACAACAUGAUCUUCCAGCCGAGUCUGUUCAGAUGUAGUUUCUGUUUCAAGUCCACAAUCUACCAUUUGAUGAUCUUCUUCUUCAUUUGGACUAAUCUUUUGCGGGAAUAUGGGAAGAAUCUUGUAAUUUUCUGCAGGAGAGACAUAUUCAUCUAAGAUUUGUUCCUCAAAAUUAAAUUCUUCUUGAUUCAGAUCUGCCACAUCUUGGUCUUAUAGAAAAACAGCAUUGUGUGACUCUUGAAUUCUUGAAUGAGCUUGUGGAUCAUAAAAGUUGAACCCUUUGGACUUUUCGCAGUAGCCAACAAAAUAACAAGACUGAGUUCUUGCAUCUAAUUUCUUCUCAUGUGGAUUAUAGAACCUUGCUUCAGCCUUGCAGCCCCAAACAUGAAAGUAAUCAAAAUUUGGUUUUCUUCCAGUCCAAAUUUCAAAAGGGAUUCGUGAAACAACUUUGGUUGGAACCCUGUUGAGUAUAUAAGUUGCUGUUUUGAGUGCUUUUCCCCAUAAGAAUGUUGGAAGUUUAGCUCUAGACACCAUGCUUCUCACCAUCCCAAUCAAAGUUAUGUUCCUCCUUUCUGAGCCUCCAUUCUGUUGUGGCGUUCCAGGUGUCGUAUAUUGUGCCACAAUGCCAUGUUUCUCCAGAUAAAGAGCAAAAGGUCCUUUCUAUUGACCUGCCUCAGUAUACCUGCCAAAAUACUCUAUUCCCCUAUCCGAUCUAACAAUUUUAAUAGUUCUAUUUAAUUGUCUCUCAACCUCAGUUUUAAAAAUUAUGAAGCAACUAAGGACAGCUGAUUUUUCACUAAUGAGAUAAGUAAAACUGAAUCUUGAGAAGUCAUCAAUAAAAUUCACAAAAUAGUUGUUUCCACAUAUAGUUUUAACUGGAAAAGGACCACAUACAUCAGUGUGUAUGAUUUCAAGCAGAUUUUGACUCCUAGCUUCUAAUUUUCUAGUAUUAGUCAAUUUCCUUUUCAAACAAUCAACACAUUCACUUUUGGUUUGAAAAUCAAAUGAGGGAAUCAAAUUGGACUUAGAUAAUUGUAAGAUUCUCUCUUUCGAAAUGUGUCCCAACCGUUUGUGCCACAAAAUAUUAGAAUUUUCAAAAUCAUGCAUCCUUUUGGUGUUUACAUUUAAAACAUGCACAUAAUCAUUUUCAAGAGAACAAUCCAAUUGCCAAAGGUUUUCACGUAAAUAAGCUUUUCCCAAAACUGGGUCUAAAUUAUUCUUUUGAAAAAACUUUAUGCCCUCAUCAUCCCCAAGAAAAACCAAAUUAUGUUUAGUUAGUUUUGAUGCAGAAACUAGGUUCCUUCUCAUUGUAGGCAUAAAAAGUACAUCAUUUAGUUCAACUAUAAAACUAGAAGAUAAUUUUAGUUUCACUUUCCCUAUAGCUUCUACAACAACCUUAGUCCCUUCCCCAACAAAAACACUAUAAUUCAUUUUAUUUGUUUGUUUUUGUUUUUCAAAACCAUGCAAUGUAUUUGUGACAUGAACUGAUGCACUAGUAUCAAACCACCAAGAUUUAGCAGGAAUUUCAACCAAGUUAGACUCCUCACAGACAUAGACAUCAAUAUUACCCUUACUCCUCAGCCAAUCCUUAAAAGUUUCGCAAUCUUUUCUAACAUGACCUUUGGUUUUGCAAAAGACACAUUUAAGCUUAGUUAUAUCUUUAAUUUUAACUUUAAUAUUGUCAUAUUUCUUAGAGGAUUCAACAUAUUUAGCAGGCAUACUAGAUUUAGAGACAUUAUCAUAAGACUUAGAGUUCUUACUUGGAUUAAUUCUGCCACCCUUCUUGCUCUUUCCUUUGGAUGCAUGUACAAGGUUUACUGCUUCAAUUUCCUUGACCUUGUCUUGCUUCAGUCUUUUCUCUUCUUGGACACAUUGAGCAAUGAGCUCAUCAAGUGUCCAAAGAUUCCCUUGAGUGUUAUAUGAGACUUUCAGUUGACAAUAUUUAGCAGGGAGUGCUUGAAGCACCAUAAAAACCAGUUGAGUCUCUGAAAUAUGUACAUCCAUUGAGUUGAGUUCUCGGCAGCAUCUGAGAGUUUCAGAAUAUGAUCCCUAAUUGAGCCAUUGCCCUCACACUUGUAAGUUGUCAAGAGUGACAUGUAGUGUCCAAUUUCAGCCUUCUGAGGUUCUUGAAACUUCUCUUCAACAGCUUUGAAGUAAUCAACAACAAGGUCAUGUUGUUUGAUACCUCCUCUAACAUGAUCAGUCAUGCCAGCCUCCAAAAUGGACAAUGUCAAUUUAUUUGAUCUCCACCACCUCUCGUGCUCUGCUUUCUUAGCCUUGGAACUUUUGUCAGUCAAUAAUGGGGGUUGUGGAUUGUCAAUUGCAAUGUCAAAUUCAUUGAGUAUCAGUAGCAACUUGAUCUCGCGUCUCCACUUCUUGAAAUUACUUCCACCAGUAAGAAUCGAAACACUUGCCAAAUUCAAGGGUUUCAGUGAAAUUGCAGCAGAUCAUAAUGAAAUCAGUAAACAUGAACCAAUAGGUUCCUGAUUUCUCUACUACUAGUUAAACUGUACAAAACAAAAUUUGAACCAAUUUGACCAUAUAUGUAGUCCCAAUGAUAAAGGAUACACAUAGAUCAAACAAUUCAAAAAAUGUCCUUUUUUUUUUCUUUCGGAAUAUGUAUCAAUUGAUAGUUCAAUACUUAUCACUCAUAAUUCCAUUUGAUUUACAGAUAACACAAUCUUCAAAAAACAAAAUAUGCAGUAUAUACAUGCAUACAUUUUUGACAUUGAACUGUUGAGUUUUUUUUUUGACCCAUCAAGCAAAACCAAUCAAUUAUUGGAGAUGUCUGGAUGCAAUAAUUUUAGUCAUCUUAAUUAAAAAUAGAUAAUUAAGAUCUCAACUUCUGGCAAUAAAAAUAAAGAAUCACACGAUAACAUGAGGAUCAUAAUUAACAUAUAUGCAUUUUAAAUCCAAUUCAUACAAGUCUAUUGAGUUUGUAUUGCUUUUGAAUCUCAUAUAGUAUCAAUUAGAAUAAGGCACUCAGAUUCAAAAUCAUAGAGAAGUGCAGUAAAUAAAAAAUUAUCACUUUCUUAUGAAUCAGCAAAGAUUGAAUUAGACGAAAAAAGAAAACGCAACACAUACCAGUAAGGAUCCAGAUUGAAAACGAAAUAGUGCAGAGGAAGUAAUGAAUUAUUUGUAAUCUAGAUUGACUACUCUUUAUGAACCCUAAUUCGAUCAGAAAACCCAGUUUUUCUGAACCCCCAAUUCGAAACGACGGCAACUUAAUUUUACCAAACAAACAUUAACUUUGUUUUUUAGUUUUUUUUUUUUUAUAAAGACAGCUCCUGGGUUCGAAACCUUUAGGGGCCCCUUUUAUUUUAUUAUUCGAGUUUUUUAACUAAAACUUAGGCUCUGAUACCACAUGUAAGAACCAAUAAAGCCUCCUAGAGAUCUUAGUCAAGUUAAAUAAACCACGAAUAACCAAAACAAUUAAUAUACUAGAAGUAUGAAAUAUAAACCAACCUGCAUCAGUAAUAGAUGAAGCCAUGAUCAAACAAGUAGUAGACCUUCUCCUCUCUGUCAAAACCAAUAAUACUCAAACUAACAAUAGGCCUUAGUUCAAUAAUGAACGUAUGUUUUGUGAGCAAAGGCUACUAUUUAUACACAAUCAAUCCAUGUAAUUCUCCUAUUAGAAUCCUUAUUCAACACUGAAUAAGUUUACCUUAUUGUAUACAAAGUGUUAAAACCAGUUUUCAUACUUUCAUUCAAUCCUUCACAAAUAAGGAUUAAGUAUACCUUCUUACAUUGGGACUUUUCUAUACGGAUGUGAAACAAAUAGUAGGCCUUAGGAAUUAUAAUCAUGAUCAUAUUCUUACAGGAUGGGCACUCAUUUUCUUCCUUAUUCAUGUUUGGUGUUGAAAAAUAGAAGCCUCCUAAUUUGGUGGCGUUGGAGAAUCCUUUUAACCAUCCAAAACAUGGAUCUAAGGAGUCAGGAAGCAAGAGGAGUUUAUCCAUAUUCAUGGAUACAAGAAGCUAUGAGCAAAGGAAUGAGGACCCCAUUUUAGGUGAUUAUUCUUUGCUUCUACAAAGAGGAUCUACAUAAGUAUAAAGUCACCUCUCUUUGUUUUGAAUUUGAGUUGAGUCUUUGACUAACAAUUACUAGACUUUUAAUUUCAUGAGUUAAGUUUUGUUUUUGAGUGCAUAUAAGCAUGCUAGAGCCUUUAAUUGUCAAUUACAUGUAUGUGUGUUGCUCAAAUGAACUUAGUUUAUCAAAAUUUUCCUUCAAGACCAACUUCUAUGGCAUGUGUGGUUUCUUGUGCCAAUCACACAAACGUUAUGUAAAAAGAACUUACACAUUACAUUGCAUGAUUGACAAUUAACAACACAAUAGUGUUAUAACUGUGUCAUGAAAGUUUUUAUGCAAAGUCACUUGAUAUGCUGCAACAAUUAGUAAACAAUAUUAGAAAGACCUAGAGGAACCCACGAACCCGCAAUUCAUUCCAAUCCAUUAAGUAGCUCAUGCAUCAUUUCUCCUCAGCAAAUGUGAUUUUGAAAGGUAGACGAAUUUCUGAUUGCAUUGGUCUAGUUUCAGAAGGGUUCAAUUUUAUGGAAAAAAAUGCUUGUGGUGGUAAUGUGAGCAUAAAAGUUGAUAUUGUUGAAGCUUUUGAUACUUUGAAUUGAAGUUUUCUUCUUCAUGUGCUUUCUAGCUUUGGUUUUCUCGAAUAUUUGUGGACUCGAUGCAUGUUUAGUUUUAGUAUGGUCGGCUCGACUUUCAAUUUUGGUAAAUGGCACACCACGAGGAUUUUUCUCUUGCUCUCAGGGUGUACGUCAGGGAGACCUUCUUUCUCCACUUCUUUUCUGUCCAGUAGAGGAAGCUAUGAGUAGGGGUUUAUCUUUGCUUUUUUCUACUAGUCAAAUUACUGCUAUUUCAGCUUUGUGGGGUUGCUGCCUUCCUACCCAUGUGUUAUAUGUUGAUGAUCUUUUUAUUUUUGGUCAUGGAAGUGUUCGAUCUCUUCGUGCUCUUCGAAAUUUGUUGGAUAAAUAUGGUUGUGCUUUGGGACAACUUAUUAAUGCAACUAAGAGUACUUUUUUAUCUGGGCUCCACCUCUGCCCAUUUCAGAGCACAGGUUUAGAGAUAUCUUGGCUUUCGUUAGGGUACUGGUCUUUUUACUUAUCUUGCGGUACCCAUUUUUUGUGGUAAGCCAAGGAGAAUUCACUUUCAAGUUUUGGUAGAGAAGGCUAAAGCUCGCCUAUCAAGUUGGAAAUAUAAACUUCUCUAAAUGGCUGGACAAUUUCAGUUGGUGCAGUCUGUUUAUCAAAGCUUGUUUCUUUAUAGUUUCUCAGUUUAUCAAUUGUCGGCGUGCCUUUUAAUUCAUCUUACUGCUUGUGCAAGGAAUUUUCUUUGGUAAGAAGACCUGGCUUCUUGAUAGUUGGUAAGUGUUGACUGAAGUAUGGUGACCUAAUCAGGAUGGUGGGCUUGGUCUUCAGGAUUUAGCUUCUUCAAACUUGACGACUUUACUUAGAUUCGGUUGGGAUGCUUUACAAUCCCGUUCUUUGUGGGGCUUUUUUGCUCUUCAGCGUUUUCUUCUUGCACCUUAAAAAAACAAAAUAUCUACUUAUGGUCUUCUGUGUGGCAUGGUUUAAAGCGUGCCUUACCUAUUCAUAAUAAUAAUAGUUGUUGGAUUAUUGGUGAUCAGAGGUUAGUUUCCCUUUGGUUCGACAAAUGGUUAGAUGACCCAAUUAGUAACUCUUCAUUAUCUCUAGUCAUUUCACCUAUGGUUCAUCCUCAAGUUUUAGAUGCUAUUGAAUCUCAAAGUUGGUCUUGCCAUAUUAUUUUACAAAUUUAUUCUCAUCUGUGGUUGAACAAAUUUUACGUAUACCUUAGCCUUUAAAUGCAGAGGAUGACAAAUUAAUUUGGAAACCACCACCUACUAGGAACUUUUCUUUUUCUUUUGGUUCACCUUAUCUGAGGAAUCUGCUGCUAUUCUUUUCUUUGGGUGUCGGAUAUCUAGGCAACUUUGGAGGUGGUUAGCAUGUCAAUUUGGUACUUCUUUGCCUCUUUCAGAUUCUUCAGAUGUGUUUAGGAUGUCUAUAUUAAACCCUUUCUUAUCAGUUGCAUAAUCUUUGGAUUUUUGCAGGUCUUUCUUCUAUUUCAACUAUUUGGAAAGCUCGAAAUAAGUUUAUUUUUUAGGGUCGAUCAAUCUCCCUUCAUCGACUUUGCAUGUCUAUCAAUUCCAGGGUCGUUCAUAUUGGGAAAUUUAUUCUUUGUUACUCUCAAGGUUUGGACACUCAUAUCAUUUCUUCUCUUGGGAUUCGACCUAUCCCUAUCAAGGCGCCUACUGUUCUUCUGCGCUUAGGUCUCCUCUUUGAUUUCCUUGGAUUAAAGUUAAUACAUAUGAUUUGUCUAAAGGAAAUCCUGGUCCUGCUAUGUGUGGAGGAGUUUUCAAGGAUUUCCAUGGUUAGUUUCCUGAUGAUUUCUACUAAUGGAUUGGGCAUCACAACUUUUUUUUUUUAAUUUUUUGCAUAAUUAUUAGCAAUUAUUAUUAGUGUUGAGUUUGUAUAUCUGCUGGGUUAACAUUGCCUUGGUUGGAAAGUGAUUAUUGUAGUGUUAUUGCUGCUCUCCAAUCAACCAAUUUUGAUUUUGCUUGGCCUCUUCAUACACAAUGGCCUACUUGUCUAGAUCGCAUUCGGAAUAUGAUAUUCUAUGCCUUUCACAUAUAUCAUGAAGGAAAUGUUGUUGCGGAUAAAUUUGCUAACAUGGACUUGUCUUCUCCAACUUUGGUGGCAUGACUUCCCUCCACCAGUGGCUUGUGCUGCUUUGUUUUCAAACUAUAUUCGCUUGCUUGGCUUCCGCUUCUCAAACUAAUGUGCAUCUCACCAUGCAGGUAUGUCUCCAUUUCUUGUUUUUUCCUAACCUUGUGGUGUCAUUUGACUUGUUUUGCAAAAUGUCUCCAUUUCUUGUUUUUUCCUAACCUUGUGGUGUCAUUUGACUUGUUUUGCAAGUUUUUGACUUUUUAGGUUUUGCUUUAGAGGGUUUAGGUUUCAUGUCCCCCCUUCUUUUCCUUGUAUCUUUUUUGUUUUCGUUUCUAGAGGGGUAAGGUCUAUGUCCCCCUUCUUAUAUAUUCAUGUUGUUUUUCUCCUUUUCUUGGUAUAAUGAGGGAUAAGGUUUAUGUCCCCUCUGACUAGGUGAAACUUAUUAUUAUUAUUAUUAUUUUGUUAUCCAUAAAAUAUCCUUCAUCCCAUCUAGGUUUUCUAAAAUACAAUAAAAAUUAAUUAGCUCAUGUGCAAGCAAAGUAUGGGCUUCCCAUGCGCAGGAACUUGAAUUUACUCAUAUUUGGUAGUUACGUAGUUUGAUACGAGGUGCCUCCCCAUCGUUCAAUGUGUUCACCCACAUGAUGUUAAGUGUAACCUUCUUAAGGUUCAACAAAAUUAUUGUUUCUAUUAACAAAUGUAAAUAAAAAAUAAGCAAAAUACUAGAUAGAUCACAUAUUUUAUUUUUAUUACAUUGGUGUGCCGUAUUGUGAUAUGACUGCAUGCAUGCCACGUUUUGUAAUGAGUUAUCUCAUUAGAUGUUAAUUGUAUGUAUCACUUUCCAUAUCAUAUGGUACAUCAAUGUAGUAUAAAUAUGUGGUCUUUAUAAUACUAAAAAAAAAAAAAAGUAAUGUUGCAUUUAUCACAUUUUUCAUACCAUUGUAUCAUCUCUUUAUAGAAGCAGGGCACAUCAACAUAUGUGUCUCAUCUCUGUUAAAAAAGUGAUACAAAUAUGGUAUGAAAAAUAUGAUAAGAGUAGCAUUUACAAAAAACAAAAUCUUAAAGUUAAAUGAACUGAACAAACAUAGAAAAUUUGAAAGGUACUGUUAGCAGUUCAAUCCCACGAAAAACAGGGGGUGGUCUUAAUCAACACAGAUGAGACGUGCAAUUCAUCUGUAAAGUUCAAUAAUUUUCAUUUACCACAGCUUAACAUAAACAAGCUUCGUCAUGCAUAAAUGUGGAACUUUAUGAACCAAAGUAGGCAGCACAAACAGGAUAUGAGCGAAAAAUGACACUCUCAAUAGACUGAAUGGAAUUGAGUAAAAACAAUCUCACAACUGAUGAGAAAGAUCAUGAAAAUUCCAAGUUAUCCCAUUAGUGUUUAAGACAAGAUGCCAUGAAGAACGUCAAUACUCUGCAUAGCUAUUCUCACAAAUGGUAUGUACAACAUUAUUAUUCCUGGUUACUUCCAAAUAAAAGCUUUUCAAGCACUGCAAAUCACUAUUCAGCUUUAAUGUGUCCCAUCAGUCUUCUACAAAAGCAAAACGACAGUAAUAAGUGCAUCGGUGGCCCUGGCGACGGAAUUUAUGGCGCCUCUUCGUUCUUUCAAUUAUUUCAAAGCUUCCCGGCCCUGUAUUCCUGUACAAAGAUGUGUGAUGUUUUAUCAGUUCCAUUUGGUGAUUGGGUGGGAAAUGAAUUUAAACUCUUCAUUUCAAAUAGUCUAAACCAAAUUGUAUAGAAUGUGAAGCAGAGGGCAAGAGGUGUAGAUUGAAGAACAAUGGCACUAAGAGCAAAACUGAAUUUGUUCAUCGGAGGUAAUCAAAUAAGGAUUAUGCGUGUAAAUCUUAUUUCGCAUGUAUUCUGCUCAUGAUGUUUUAAUGAUGAUUAUUGGUAUAUUCUGCUACGUGUUAUGAUUUUUCUGCUUUCAUGUAAUUAGCGGCUUAGAUAUGUGAAAAAAAAAAAAUUGUUUGGGUUAGUAUUUGAACAUUGGGUGUAAGUGAAAGAAGGCACAAGGAUGCCAAUUGAAAGGGGAAUUGCUCGAAGCCCAACAUUAUACCCAGAAGCAAAUUGAGGCUUUCUCAGCCAAGAGUCAUAAACCACGUGUCUAUAAGUAAAGUGACAAGUGAUGAAGAUUAACCUACUAUCAACAAAGAACACUUUCCAGUGGCAUUACAAGUAAGAAAGCUGAUGACUCAUUACCCUCCAAAUGUUUUCGGGCAAGAGCAAAAGUUACAGUAGUCGGGCUAGUUUGCCUAUAAAAGGAAGAAGAGGCCCCAGAGACAAAGACACUUAACCAAUCAAACAAACAAACAUACAAACUCUGCUCUCAAGCCAGAUUUGCAUCCAAAAGCUGAACACAGCCCAUAUUUAGUCCUUUUAACGCUAGUUCCCUACAAAAGACAUCUUUUGUCUAGUCUAAAAGCUUUUCUACCUCCCUUAGUGGCAUAGUAUCGAUUCCCUUGUGUAAACUUGUUUACCAUCCAUCCCUUUUUAAGCAUACAACUCUUGUAAACUCAAAGAGAAAUGAUUGUAAGAAGUUCAACCUUGCCAGACAAGGUGAAAUCUUGCCCGAAGCUCUUUGUUUGUUUUCUAAAUUAGUAGAUCUAUUGCUUAAUGCAUUCUCCAGUAUGUAUUUAAGUUAUUUCCACCUGUUUUUCUAUUUUAAGAAGUUCAUUUGCAUCUGGAUCUGGUUCGCUUAAAUGAAUAUGCUUUCAUUAGAUAUACUCUGGAACCAAACAAGUAACUUAAGGGGAUCUGGACCCCCUUCAUUUCGAACAUACAAGACUAUGAACUAAAAGUCCUUGUUUACAAGGCAAGAAAAAGAACUUAAUAUGGACUUAACCCAUCCACGACAAUCAUUUGAUAACAAGAAGUUUGAAGUAACUUGGGGCGCAAGUAAUCUACUUAAAACACACUUGUUCUACAUCUGUUAUACUGAGAUAGCAGUGACACGCCUAGAACUUAAUUAGUUUUGAUUAUGAGUCUUAAGGCCUACACCUAAGGCCCCAUAAAGGAACCUUUCAUAACUAACUUUGUUCUCUUCUUGUAGCACAUCAACAAGCAAGAGCCCGACUACACAUCCAAAGUGCCAAUCCCUUGGGGAGCUGUGCUGAGGUCCGAGGAUCCUUCUCCACAGAAAUCUUUGCCCGAACAUAGUUUUGGCACGCCCGGUGGGAUUCGAAUACUAGUCUUGUAUGCCAAGAAGAAGGAAGAAGGAGAAAACCUUCAAGUGGAACACAGAAUACGAGCUACCCCGGUGUCUACCAAGAUCAAUCAUGACAGCUCAUCCAAAAGAUUUCCCUUCCCUACGAGGGCUAGCUAUUUUAGACAGCUCGACUUCACCUGAGAAGUCAGGGAGGAAGGUGACCAAUGAAGACUUGCAAGCCACCAUGAUGCAAGUAUUGAAAACUAUGGAAAAUAUCACUUUGGAAAUCGGAGGAGAAGUGAGUAGACUUUGUUCUUUAACAGGGAGUCUACAAAGAAGAUUAGAUCUGGAGUACUUUACUCCAAAUAAUGGUCAUUUCAUGGAAAUGGUGAAAGAAGCAAACCCUGAAAGAGAACCAGUUAUCCCCCUAUUUCCUUUACUGGAGGAAAAAAAGGAUGAAGGAAAAAACAAUGAGGGAUUUAGAGUUAGUGAACCAGUAGUGGAGGAAAUCCUAUAAGCAAAGUUGCAUGACCCCUUAUUAUUUUCACUAGAUAGUAGAGGCAGAACGAGAAAGACAGAAAGAAGUAUGGGAUGCCCUAUGUAAUCGGAGAGUCCAGUGGGAAAAAAGAUUUCACAACUGUGGACAAACCUCCUCCUUAUAGGCCACCACCAUUGGCUAAUAAGGGAUGAGAGCCUAGAUGGAGAAAGCCCGAACCAAAAAAGGAAGCUUGCUUGGGCAAUGAUCCUAGCGCGAAGUGGGAAUUUCCUUACACCCCACUUAAUAAUACAACUAACCAACAACUCAGAGAUGAGUUAGCCAAGUUAAGAAGAAUGAUAGUCUACAAUGCUAACCUCAGGCUCGCCCCACUGUUUAGGAUCACCUACCAGAAGCCAUACCCCGAAAAGAUCGAUGAGCAUAAUCCAUUUCCACUCAACUUCAAGAUGCUCGCGUUUCCCACUUUUAGUGGAAAAGAUGGCAGUGUGUCCUCUAGAGAUCAUAUCUUUAAGUUCUCUAAUCACUGCGUGGCAUUCGAAGAUAAUCCUAAUUAUAAGUUAAGAUUGUUUGGGAACUCGUUGGUUGGUCUAGCAUCUCAGUGGUACUCUCUGUUGCUCUCCAAUUCUAUUGCUAAUUGGGGGCAAAUGGAGAUGGUUUUCCAUGAGCAGUUCUAUAGGAUGGAGCUCAAGAUGUCUAUCAAUGACCUAGUAGAGGUGAAGCAAUAUGAACAUAAGUCUACAGAAGACUUCAUGAUGAGGUUUAGAAGGACAAGAAUGAGGUGCCAAUUCCCUAUCAAUCAUGCUUAGAUUAUAUCUAUUGCUCAGAAAGCAUUGAGGUUGCCUUUGAGAAAAAAGUUUUAUGAUGUACAGUUCAAUGAGUUGCAAAAGUUGGUAAUUGCUGCCACAAAGUAUGAAAAGGUAUUGCUUGAAGAACAACAAGUGAAACACUCAUCCAAGGUCCCUCAUUUUUAUAAAAAUAAAGCUGCAAUUCACCAAGUAAAGUUUGAAGGAAGAGAGCCGGAAGGAAGCGAUGAUCAUGGAGAAGAAAAGAUUAAUAUGUGUGCAGCAGAGAUGACUACGCUUUUUAAACCAUCAACAGUAAAGGGUUUAGUUCAUCCAGUCAAAGAUCAGAAGAUAGUAAUGAAUGAUGGUGGAUUUGUCCCUAUGAACCCCCCUAAGUAACAGAAUUAUUAUUUUGAUUUAACCAAUGCCUCAUAAAUCUAUGAAGAGUUAGUGCGGGCAAGAGUAAUUGUGCCUAAUAGCACCAAGAAGAUGCCAAAGCCAGAAGAAUUAAGAGGAAAUAAAUAUUGCAAAUUACACUACACCUUUAACCAUUCCAUAACCAACCGUGUCCAGUUUAGGGAUUAAAUACACGACCUCAUAGUAAAAGGAAAGUUGUUAUUGGAGAAAUCGCAAGCCAAUAUGAUGAUUGACACAUAUCCCUUCCUAGAAGCUCUAAUAAACAUGAUCAACCUGACUUGGGCUGAGAAAGGGAAGGGAAAAGCCACUUGGGAAGUAAAAGCAGAAAUAAGGCAAGUUGAUAGACCGACAGAAUGAACUAUCAAGUUGUUCGAGAAACCCAAAACAGCCAUAAUUAAAGGGCUGGUAUUAUGUAGCAAGUGCCAGUAUGAAUGUGAGCUAGAGGUGCCAGCAUCAGGAGCCAUUAUUGAUCAAGAAUUGAUUAAAAGAAAAGAGAAAGAAAAACAAGAAGCCCACAGAAGCAUCAUGCGAGCAGUUGAGAAAGAAACCUCCAGGAAUGUCUUCUAAAAGUUAGGAGGGGAUUCUCAACCAAAGGGCUUGUCAGAGGUAUUCAGAAAUUGCGAAGCCUCUGAAGAAGUAGAAGACAAAGAAAGCUAAAAUACCAAAAUGGGUGGUGAAGGUUUAGCCUUCCCAGCCUAGAUAUGAAGAUAGUGAUGUCGGGAUGAAGGGAAGAACAAAUAGUGUAAUAUCCACAUUCACCAAGAAGGAUUCUACUCGACUCGGGGGGAAAUGGUAUGUAGUUAGGAAGGAUGGAAGACCUAUCAAGGAAAUGGGAGCCUCUAUGAUUAGGAGAGUCCAGAGAUAGCACAAAGCUCAUAUGAACUCACUCAAAGUCCCUGCUACAUCAGAAACCUCUGAAAAUGAGAAAUUCGAGAAGGUACGUCAUGCGGAAGAAAUCAACUUCACUAGAGAAGUGAAAAACAGGUAGAAAGAGCUAAUAGCAAGACUAAAGAAGAGGGAGAUCAUGUGCCACAAAGCCCUCAUCCAGGAAAGUACAGAAUCUUGAUGAGGGCUCAAAAGGAUAUGGUGAUGAUGCUAACCCCAAGAUGAAACCCAAAACCAAUAUGCUUUGGAACUAUCUCGCCUGAUAGAGGGUUGCACACACCUUUUUUGGUUAAUACUCUAUUUGAAAACCUGGAGCAAGUAUAGGACUUUGGAAUAACCUGAGAAGAAAAGUUGCUCGAGUUAAUGAUACCACAAAAAGCACAAGUUUGGUUAGAUGAAUUCAUGGACCACAUUAGGGGCAAAAAUGAGGAUGUACCUGAACCUAGCAACUUCCAUGUAAACAUGACAUAUGUUCUAUCUACUAUGUUUUACGUCGAGCCUGAUCAACCUGCCGCAAUGGAGGGUGAUUACUUGGCAACAGAACCUAUGAUGGCAUGAAAAGAGGAAUCCAGCCAGACAGGUUUGCCCGAGCAAAUAAGGAAGGAGCCCGAGAGAGUGUAUUUUGACAGAAUGGUCUUUAGCCACCCGAAUAUGGUCUUAGCUAACCAUUUUAAGCCCAUAUAUGUAACUGCUCAUUUGGAGGGAGUACCCUUUAAGAGGGUUUUGAUUGAUGGAUGAAAUGCGGUCAAUAUAAUACCAUUGAAGCAUAUGAAGAAGUUUGGGAGAAGUGAAGAAGAUCUCAUUCCUACGGUUUUAACAGUCUCUAGCUUUUCUAGAGCUAUCACCAAAACACAUGGAAUACUACCAUUAGAAGUUGACUUGGGGUCCAAGCAAAUCAUGCUAGCUUUCUUUAUAGUAGAUGGUACUUCCAUUUAUGGAGCUUUGCUUAGUAGAGAUUGGAUUCAUCAGAGUCUCUCUGUACCAUCUACAUUACACCAACAGAUUGCAGUUUACCAUGAAGCCAAGACUGGAAAACCAAGAUUUUGGGAGAUAGUGGAGGCCGAGACACGGCCAUUCCCCUCUCUCACAGUUAAUGUUGCAGAAGUUAGCUUUUGCAAUCCUAGUAUUGGGAUUCUCCAGUGCUUAGGAGCUGAUGAGAACGGCCGCCCGACUCAGGUGAUGGCCCAAAAGCUUUUGGAGCAAGGAUUGUUCUUCACAAGAGAUGAGUGAGAUGGACCCUAUAUUAUCCCAACUCCCUAACACCAGUAAUGUCGAAACAAAGAAGAAAUGACCAAGUAAUUGCAGUUAGGUUUUUAAUCAAAAGACUGUUAGUGUAUGGGAGAGAGAGAAAGCAAGAAAGAGAGAGCUUGACCGAGGAGCAAGAGGAAGAAGCUUCAAGCAACCAGAACAGAGAUAAAGAAGAGUUUUUUGGAAAUGAGUUGGAAGCAGCCAUACAAAUGGUUGAAUGUAUAUAUGACUUGGAUGGGCCAGAAGACUUGCCCGAGAGUCCAGAGUUAGUUGAAUUUUUGUGUGCAAGACCUUACAAGCCACCACCAGAGGUUCAAGACCAUUUGGAGACCAUUGAUUUAGGGACUAAACAGAUCAGUAGCUUGUUAGAAGUUGAAGAUCGGGCAAGAAUAGUCAGCCUGCUGCGCGAGUUCAAAGAUUUUUUUGCUUGGUAUUACACUGAGAUGCCAGGUUUAGAUUCAACCUUAGUAGAGCACAGAAUGCCUAUUAAGGAGGGGUGUAAACCUGUGAAGCAAGCAUCACGAAGGAUGUCAAAAGAGAUUGAAGAAAAAGUCAAGGAAGAGAUUUAAAGGCUAGUAAAUGCUGGAUUUAUUAGGCCUAUCAAAUAUGUCAAGUGGUUGACAACAUUGUACCUGUAUUAAAAGCUAUAACUAAUGUAGUUUGAUGUUGUGUUGACUAUAGAAACAUUAAUGGAGCCACGCCUAAAGAUGAAUACCCCAUGCCCAUAGCUGAUUUAUCCAUAGAUGCAGUUGCAAAACAUAAAGUUUUAUCUUUCAUGAAUGGGAAUGCCGGUUAUAAUCAGAUAAAAAUGGUAAAAGAAGAUAUACAUAAAACAGCUAUUAGGUGCCCAGGACAUGUUGGAGCAUAUAAGUACUUAGUCAUGCCAUUCGGGCUAAAAAAUGAUGGUUCAACCUAUCAAAGAGCAAUGAACACCAUUUUUCAUUACUUGAUUGGCAAUAGCAUGGAGGUGUACAUUGAUGACAUCGUGGUGAAAUCUAAAAUUAAAGAACAGCACCUAGUAGACCUCAGACAAGCCUUAACAAGAAUGAGGAUCCAUAAGCUAAAAAUGAAUCCUAAGAAAUGUGCUUUUGGGGUGAGGUCGGGCAACUUUUUGGGUUUCCUUGUUCAUCAAAGAAGGGUGGAAGUCGAAAAAAAUAAAGCUCGGGCAAUAAUGGAAUCACCACCUUCCACCAACAAAGUACAACUACAGAGGCUACUAGGAAAAAUCAAUUUCUUAAGGAGAUUCAUUGCUAACUUGGUAGGUAAGAUUCAACCGCUAACUCCUCUGUUAAGAUUGAAAGACAAAGAAGAGUUCGAGUGGGGUCCACCAUACCAAGAGGCCUUUGACAGAAUAAAGGCUUAUUUGACUUCUCCACCAGUGCUCAUGCCACCUCAGAGGGAAACCUUUAAAGCUUUAUAUUUCUGCCUCUGAAAAGUCAAUAGGAAGCUUGCUAGCUCAAAACAAUGAAGGUGGGAAGGAACAAGCAAUAUACUGCCUCAAUAGAAUCCUUACUGAGGUAGAAACAAGAUAUACACCAGUGGAAAGGUUAUGUUUGGCUUUAUACUUCACUGCCUGUAAGUUAAGGCAUUACAUGUUACUUUGCCACAUCCACAUUAUUGCCAAGACUGAUGUGAUCAAGCACAUGCUGUCAAAACCAAUGUUAACUUGGAGGAUUGGAAAAUAGAUUCUAGCACUUUCAGAGUUCAGCUUUCAAUAUGUGCCCCAAAGAGCGAUCUAGGGGCAAGCAAUUGCAGACUUUUUGGCUGAGCACCAAGAGUCACAAGAUGAGCUUGUUAACAUCCCAGGAACUUUGGAAGUGGCCAGUGUGUGGAUCCCACCAAGCAAAGCCUUCUCGAGCAAAGAAGAAUGGAUCUAGCAAGAGAUAAAAAGAAUAACUAGCCCCUGAAUCACUAAUUGGAAGCUAUAUUUUAAUGGAUCUUGCACUCAAAAUGCUGAUGGGGCUGAGAUUGUCAUUAUUGAUCCUAAGGGUGCUCACCACUGUUAUUCAUUUCUCUUAGAUUAUCAAGAGACUACCAACAAUUGGGCAGAGUAUGAGGCAUUAAUAAUUGGUUUGGAAAUCUUGAUAGAGUUGGGGGCAACUAAAGUUGAAGUGUUUGGUGAUUAAUUAGCUAAAUAGGGAGUACAAGUGUAGACAUAUUACCAUGACUGGUUAUUACUUGGCGGCCACGUAAUUGUUUAGCUAUUAGGGUGCUGAAAUAAUAGUUAGCCAUAUCCCCAAAAAAUCAAAUGCAAUGGCCAAUGAAAUGUUGUAGUUGCCUUCUGGAACACAGAUCCAAGAAAGAAGAUUCAACGUGGAAGUGGAAGUGCAAAUGAGGAAUCUCCCUUCUAUUUUUUAUAGAGGAUUCAACCUAGAUGUGAUGACUAAGGAGCUCGAGAUGGAAGGUUGAAGAUCACCCACAAUUCAAUACUUGAAAAAUUCUUCUUUCCUCAUAAGUAAGAAGAAUAGGCAGUAAGCAACUAAGUAUGUUAUGUGGGAGGAUAAUUUGUUAAGAAAGUCUCCAGAUGGAUUAUUGUUAAAAUGCUUAGGCUAAGAAAAGUCAAUGAGAGAAAUGGCUGAAGUACAUGAAGGAAUAUGCAGAGCACAUCAAGCUGGUACCAAGAUGAGGUGGUUACUUAGGAGAUAUGGUUAUUUUUGGCCCGACAUGGAAGAAGACUGCAAGGCCUAUGCCCGAGGGUGUGAGGAGUGUCAAAGACAUGGACCUUUCCAACAUGUGCCCUCAGUGCCCUUAAACCCCGUGGUCAACUCUUGGCCCUUCAGAGGAUGGGCAAUGGACUUCAUUGGGAAAAUUUACCCAACUUUUAGCAUGGGGCAUACAAUCAUAAUUGUGGCAAUAGAUUACUUCACUAAGUGGGUAGAAGCUUCAACUGUUAAAACUAUCACCUCAAUUGCAGUGAAAAAGUUCAUUAAAACCAAGAUCUUACAUAGAUAUGGGGUGCCCGAGACAAUUGUCACAGACCGCGGGCCAUCUUUUAUUUCAAAGGAAAUAGAAGAAUUUGCAAGUAAGUUCAAGAUAAAGAUGAUCCAAUCUAGUCUUUACUACCCCCAGUCAAAUGGUCAAGCAGAGGCCAGUAACAAGAUCUUGGUAAACAUUAUUAAAAGAAAGGUGGUAGAUAGUCCAGAGAAGUGGCACGAAAAGUUAGAAGACACUUUGUGGGCUUACAAAACCUGCAAAAGGGUAGGAACUAGAACUAUUCCUUAUGCCUUAACCUUUGGGCAUGAUGUUGUACUCCCCAUGGAGAUUAAUGUAAGUUCUAUUAUAAUUCAAAAUCAGUUUGGGUUGCACAUUGAAGAAUAUAUUCAGGCUAUCUGUCAAGGAGUUGAAGAUCUAGAUGUAGCCCGAAUUGAAGCUCUAAAUAAAAUUCAGGAAAGGAAGAGAGUUGUUGCCUGAGCAUACAAUAAGAAGAUGAUUGAAAAACUUCAAGGAAAAGAAUUAGUUUGGAAAGCAGUUUUGCCCUUAGGAGCUCAAGUGAAAGGCUUUGGGAAAUGGAGUCUUACUUGGGAAAGUCCUUUUAUUAUUCACCAAGCACUGGAUAAGGGAGGAUAUUACUUGGCAGAUUUAGAAGGAAACUUGCUAAGACAUCCAGUUAAUGCUAAGUUUUAGAAGAAAUACCAUCCAACUCUGUGGGAUGUCAGAGAUUGUUAUAUUGAAGAGGGCUAGUGAUUUCAAAGAGAAUUAAAGUUAGAAGGUGUAGUAAAACUUAAAUGUAAGGCAAGGAUUGAAACAAGUAAAGAUAUGGAAAGAUUUCAUUUCAUUUCAUAAUAAGGGAAUUACAGUGGCCUCAACCUAACAAAUUUACUUCACCAAAAGUAAUUAUUCUAGAAUGAUAAGUUUGCAUAACUGUGAAUAUUCUAGUAGGCUCAGCCAAAAUAGUACUGCUAUUGAUUAAUUGAGCCUCAUCAUAUUCCAACUCCGAAUUGUCCUUCUUCACUUCUUCAAUAUGUUGAUAAAGUUUACUUAGAAGAGUUCAUUGCUUAGCCCUUAGCAUAGCUAGUUGCUCAUCUAACUUCCAAAUCUCAAAAGUCACUACCUUAUUCUUCUCAUCUGUUGCUGAAUCUUCAUCUACCAGCUGUUGAAUAUGAGUUGAAAUACUGGAUUGUUUCUCCUUAAAACAUCUCACUCGAUUGGCUUGCCUCUCAGCCCUCUGAUGUUGAUCCCUCAAAACCAUCAAGUUCUCAAAAUAAGAGAUGAAGGAUUCAUACUGAGCUUUGGAUAGUUGAUCAGCCUUAAACAGAUCAGUUAUGGCCUUCUCUACGUCGUGAAGAGCCUUGAGGGUAAAGUAUGCUGAGAAAUCAUUCCUAGACUACUCUUAGAUGACUCGACGUUGCUCUUGAAAGCCUGAAAACCCUUGAGGAUCUCAGCUUUGUCUUGAGUUGCCCGAACUCUUUAAAAAGCUCGGGCAAAGCUGCAAUUGUAGAAAUAGGUGUAGGACAAGAGGGCAGCGCCCCAGUUCCUUCAGAGGGCACAACAAUGGAGGAGGUCUCAACAGAAAGAGGAACCCCAGAAGAUGGAGUAGAGGUAAUAGUGGCGGCAGUAGCUUUAACUUCCAUCUUUGGUCGAGGGAUGAGGGUCCCUGUGACCCCAGAAGCUAAAGGAGGUCGUGGAAGAUCUGAUUUGCUUACCAAGCGUGGAGGAGAUAUGCCUGAGCCAUCUUCAAAGCCCUGUUGGAAACGAAGAAAAACAAAUUAAGAAGAAAGAUUAUAAAUCAGAGCAUACAACAGGAAGGCGAGAAAAGGAAAAUUGAUAUACUUAAGUAGAGCUUGGAACCUUGGAAGAAGGUGGAUGAUGAGUUGUUUCUUUUCACUGUUGAGAGGGAUCAUUCCCACUUCCUUGUGAAUAAGGAAUGAUGCAUGAACCUUCACUAGAGACCUAUAAAUAUCAAAGAAAGAAGGCUAAUGUCAGUAAUUAGCUUAUGAAGAAAAGAAAAUAGAAAUAAGAGUACUUCUAUACCUGAGUAGGAUCUUGAGUGGAAAUAGGGAACUCCUAUGUGGUGGUUGCUGGUUGAAAAGAAGCCCGCAGCUAGUCACCUCUGAGACCACAGUGAUCUUAGGGACUAUGGGGUCCCCAAAGGCAGUAAUUGAUGGUUGUUGAGACUCCUAUGUUGGGGAAGACUAGAAGAAAGUAAAAGAUAAGUAUAAAAGAGAGAGAAUGCUUUAACCACAUAAUGUCAAGACAAAACACUCACCGAAUUGUUGUUGUCUUCCACAAAAUGCAGCAUCUCCCUAGUUAACGGAUCAAACAGGGAAGUAGAAGCCACUACCAAGGGAAGAGAGGUUGAAGGAAUAAAAAGAUGAAAAAGUAAAAGACAAGUAAAAGACAAGUGUUAAGGCUCUGAAAUUGGUGAAGAUACAAGUGUUAAGGCUAGAAAAAGUAAAAGACAAGUGUUAAGGCUCUGAAAUUGGUGAAGAUACAAGUUUAAAAAGAUGAAAAAGGACAUACUUUUGAAGGCUGAGCCCGAGAUGGGGAAGCAUGUGUUGGUCGGGCAGGAAGAGAAUAAGCUUCAGGCUGAAUGGACCUUCAUCUCUAAGGUCCUAUUUAAAAAUACAAGUAAAAAGUCAGUGCAAAUAUUGAGAGAAUGAAGAGGAAUUGAGUACUUAAAAUAAAUCAAACAUUUACCUCUAAUUCUUUGAGAGUAGCAUCAAGAACAGGCUUGUCUUUUUUAUAUACCUUCGCUCCCAACGGCUCCUCCCUUGAGACAAUAGUGGGUUUCUUGGUCUCUUCAUCUUGCCCGACGUCUAUCUCUGCAGGGUUGCCUUGGGCUGCAAGUGUAAAGAAACCAAGGAAAGGAUUAGAAGAGGGCAGAUUCAUGAAAAUUUAAUAAAUUACAAGUUAAAGAAGUAAAAGGUACCUAUCAGAAGGAGUUGGUUCUUCUGAUGAAUCAUUUCCUUCCAAUUCUCGAGCUCGCUCGAUUUAGGAUAGAAUUUGAUGGAUAGUUGCUUGAAGAGACAGUCAUGAGCUUCCCAUAUAUCUCUGCCAUACUUCUUAGUCCAUUUUGAUUCCCACUAAGUAGCAAAGCUUGAAGUACAUUCAAAAUUGAAAGCCAUAGGCUUUUUGGCAAUUUUGCUCAUAACCUUAAGACUUCAUUGGGCAGCUCGGAAUGUAACCUCUUGUGGGGGGUGUAGGUGAUAUGAGGUGCUGCAGUGAAUAAAAUCGAAAAAGGGUACAGGGAUGGUUUGCCUGAAGCCUAAUUGCCUGCUGCAGAAGUUUGGAUGAUAAACUUCUAGCCCGUGCUCGUAACGAUCACUUCUUACUCUCCAUGCAAGGUCAUUUGGUUGAAUGUAGCUAAUAAACUUAUCUCUGCAGAAAGUACUACCGUCAUCCCCAAAGGCAUCUUGGAAAGCUUGGUUGAAGAACCAAAGAUAUCUCCAUAGAACCGAUGUUCCUCACUCUAAAUCUGCCCGAGUCUUGCAGACACUAAAGAAGUACAGACAACAAAAGGUAGAAUGGUUGGUAGGAGAAGCCUCCGCCAGGAUUCGGGCAGAAGCAACACCCUUAGGGAAUUCAAGAUUGGGUGCCCGAAGCUCGGGGAAGUACUAUUGUAGCCAUAGCUGGAUCAUCCAGGUUGCCCCAUUGAGGUUGGUCUAGAAGGGGAUGCCUUGGGUCAUCUCAUACAAAAGAUAGUAAAGAUGAGCGAGGAGGAAGGGACUCGUAGCCACAUCAUCAAAAUUGUGCAGAGCUUCCACUAAAGGGAUUCGUUCGACUUUCACUGCCUUAGACUUGUUGAGGAAGACAUGCUUAUUAAGCCAGUAUAGUAGAAAAUACAUGUGAUCUUGGUCUCUGUUGGCGUUGGAAGAUGAAGGGCCAAAUUCCUUUUUCACAAAUGGAAUAAAACCCGUGAAAGAUGUCUCAUAACUCUUGAAAGUAGAAGAGUUAUAGUCUAGUUGGGCUAGGGGACUAAAGCUGCCUGAGCUCUCAGCCCGAAGACCUGCGCCAUAUCAAGGAUGGUUGAGGACAUAGGACCUAUCUUGAAAUCAAAAGUAUUUGUCCCCGAGUUCCAAAAGAGGAGAUAUGUGGUUAACAGCUCGGGCUUAGCAAUUAUCAUGGUCUUGGAGAGCAUUAUCAGCUUAUAGAUGUCACUGUUCCUCCAUUUUCUCUUGAAAGUAGGGUCGAGUUCAUUUACCCACCGCACCCAAGCUUCAUCAUUCAUCAAGGGGAAGCCACGAUGGUGGUGUGACCAUUUGGAGGAAGAAAUGCCCGACUCGGCCAAGAAUGGGUUAGGAGUGAACCAAUUUGCCUUGGGCAUGUUGUUUUCCACGACUACAGGGACUGGGGAGGUCCAUGCAUGCCCUAAGGAGUGUGCUCCUCCCUCCUCGAAGAAAAGUUCAGUAUGCAGGCCUGCCUAAGGACAAUGAAAGUCGUUAAGCAAGCGACGCAUGGUGGAAAUCCCCUCACCAGUCUCGUAGGAAGAUUAAGUUCGAACAACUUUGGGUGCCAUUGGUAAUUUUGAGAAAAAGAUAGGAAGAAAGUUGGAACUAGGAGCAAGAAUCUAGAAAACAGGAAGUACGGGGGAAUCUGGGAAGUGCUGGAAAUUCGAAGGCUUGAGAAUGCUAAGGUACUUAGCUGAAGGGUUUAAGUGAGCAUUAUAUAGUAAUCGAUUAGUUAAUGUUGGAAAACGUGGUUUAGUGCAAGGGUUUUGUUAAACAACGGCUGUCUUAAAUGGUGCAAGUCUCAAGUGAAGGCAUGCGGCGGUGGUUUAAUCAUUAUUAACGCCUCGAUUUGCAGACUCAACAACGAUUAAAAGGGGCACUAUUUGGGUUAGUAUUUAAACAUUAGGCUUAAGUGAAAGAAAGCCCAAUGAUGCCAAUUGAAAGGGGGAAUUGCCCAAAGCCCAGCAUUAAACCCAUAAGAAAAUUGAGGUUUUCUCAUCCAUGAGUCAUAAACCACGUGUCUAUAAGUAAAGUGACAAGUGAUGGAGAUUAACCUACUAUCAGCCCAAGAACACUUGCCAGUGGCAUUACAAGUAAGAAAGCUGAUGACUCACUACCCUCCAAAUGUUUUUGGGCAAGAGCAAAAAUUACAGCAGUGGGGCUAGUUUGGCCAUAAAAGGAAGAAGAGACCCUAGAGACAAAGACACUCAACCAAUCAAACAAACAAACAUACCAACUCUGCUCUCAAGCCAGAUUUGCGUCAAAAAGCUAAACUCAACCCAGAUUCAGUCUUUUUAAGGAUAGUUCCCUACAAAAGACAUCUUUUGUAUAGUCUAAAAGCUCUGCUACCUCCCUUAGUGGCGUAGUAUCGAUUCCCUUAUAUAAACUUGUUUACCAUCCAUCCUUUUUUAAGCAUAUAACUCUUGUAAACUCAAAGAAAAGUUACUGUAAGAAGUUCAACCUUGCCAGACAAGGUGAAAUCUUGCCUGAAGCUCUUUGUUUAUUUUCUAAAUUAGUAGAUCUAUUGCUUAAUGCAUUUUCCAUUAUGUAUUCAAGUUAUUUCCACCUGUUUUUCUAUUUUAAGAAGUUCAUUUGCAUCUGGAUCUGGUUCGCUUAAAUGAAUAUGCUUUCAUUAGAUAUAAUCUAGAACCAAACAAGUAACUUAAGGAGAUCUGGACUCCCUUCAUUUUGAACAUACAAGACUAUGAACUAAAAGUCCUUGUUUACAAGGUAAGAAAAAGAACUUAAUGUGGACUUAACCCAUCCACGACAAUCCUUUGAUAAUAAGAAGUUUGAAGUAACUUGAGGCGCAAGUAAUCUACUUAAAACACAUGUGCUCUACAUAUGUUAUACUGAGAUAGCAGUGGCACGCCUAGCACUUAGUUUUGAUUGCGAGCCUCAAGGCCUAUACCUAAGGCCCCACAAAGGCACUUUUUAGAACUAACUUUGUUCUCUUCUUGUAGCACAUCAACAAGCAAGAGCUCGACUACACAUCCAAAGAAUCAAUCCCUUGGGGAGCUGUGCUAAGGUUUGAGGAUCCUUCUCCAAAGAAAUCUUUGCCCAAACAAAUAUUAGUUAACUUCAGGAAAUGACAGUCUAAUUUACGGAACUAUCUUUUGCAGGCAAAACAAAAACGUUUGGGGCCACGUGAGUUACGUAGGAUUGGUGUUUAGCUUGGUUUACUCCGGGAUUAUAUUUCCUGAGUAGGUAGAAAGAACUCUUUCCUUGACUGGGAUAAGUUGCAAGAUAUUGCUAUUGGCAUUACCAAAGGAAACAAGGAUGUGAUCAACGAAUCCUUCAUUUUGAUAUCAAACCAUAAUGUUUUGCUCGAAUAAAACUUCACGCCAAAAAUCUCUGAUUUUGGUCUGGCCAAGUUAUGUUGCAAGGAUCAAAUCAGUGUCAAUAGCUACAGUGAGGGAGACCAUAGGGUGCAUUGCACCCAAAAUGUUUUCCAGGAAACUGUGUUUUACAAGGCAUAUGUCUAUAAUUUUGGAAUGCUGCUGCUUGAGAUUAUAGAAGGAAAGAAGAAUAAUGGUUCAACAAUAAAGGACACGACAAAUGAAAUUUACUAUCCAAAAUGGAUUCAUAAUCUUCUAGAAGAAGGAGAUGACCAACAAAUCGAUAUUCAGGAAGAAGGGAGUGUUAAGAUUCCAAAGCAACUUCCAAUUUUAGGGCUCUAGUGCAUCUAGUGACAUUCGGUGAGUUGUCCUUUCAUGAAAACGAUGGUCCAGAUGUUAGGAGGAGAAAACUUGACGAUGCAAGCAUCGCUAAAAGGCUCCUACAGUUAAUAGCAAUUGCUGAAUUAGAGUCACAUGUAUAUGUAUAGGCACCAACACUAGUAGUUCUUAGAUGAAUCCAAGCCUAAACAAUUACAGAUGACAGUUCUUCACUAAAUCACUUUAAAGUAAUAAUUUAAUUAAUAAUACAUUAUUGCACUUUCUCAACAAUUUGAUCAUCACCUAGCUGACAAUGAACAUGUUAGCUCCACGUUAGAACAUAUUGGAUUCGAUUUAUUGUCUUGAAUGUCACCCAUAGUCACAGGUGUUUCUUGUGGGCAUAGAGAAGGCCUGAGAGGCAUUUGCAAACAUUCACCAUCUCCUCCAAGCAUUUUGACAACUUUGGACAUCGAAGGGCGAUCACUUGGUUUCAUUUGAAUACACCACAAGGCGAUUAUAACCAUCUUUCUUAUUACUUUCUUUUCCUCCUCUGUAACAUUGUCCAUUUCCAAGUCAUUUCCCACAAUAUACUGAUCAUAUACCCACAUUGGGAAGUACAUUUGGCUUGGAUGCUCUACCGUUGAAUUCCAAUUCUUCCUUCUGCUUGCCAUUUCCAUCAACAACAUUCCAAAACUAUAGACAUCUGCCUUGUAUGAGACGCCUCCAAUAUUUUUGUAGAACAACUCAGGAGCAAUAUAUCCCAGUGUACCUCGUGCUGCCGUCAAAGAGACAAUGCUAUUAUCUACGGGAUACAAUUUUGCAAGCCCGAAGUCAGAAACCUUUGCUUUAAAGUUCUCAUCAAGAAGAAUGUUAUGAGGCUUGAUGUCAAAAUGUAGAAUUUGCAUGUCACACCCUUGAUGUAGAUAUUCAAUCCCUUGAGCCACUCCAAGAGAAAUCUCAUACAUGUUCUUGAUACUUAAGGAGAUACUUCCUUCUUUGGAAUAAAUGUAUUUAUCAAGAGAGCCAUUGGGCAUAAAAUCAUAUACUAAAGCACGCUUUGAUCCCUCGACACAAUAACCAACAAGUUGCACCACAUUAGCAUGGUGAAUCCUUCCGAUUGUAGUUAUUUCACUAAUGAAAUCUUGGCCAUUUGCUUUGGGCUUGCUCAAAACUUUAAUUGCUACAAAACGGCCACUACGUAACUUUCCUUUAAAUACGGAGCCAAAGCCGCCUUCACCCAACUUAUCAUUAAACUUGCAAGUCAUCUUCUUAAUUUCGGAGUAAGAGUACCUUAUAGGCAUGAAGUUGUUAUUGCAUUGCAGAAAGUCUUCUAUUGUACUAUACAUUGACAAAUGUCUUCUGCGCCAUAUAUAUACUAAAAAUGCAGUCACAACUGGAACCCCAAACAGUAGUCUUGCUGGAAAAAAUGACCCUGCAUAAGAAAUAUAUCACCAAAAGAAUCAUAAGAACAAAAACUUAUUUUUCAAAUCCACACUAUAAACUUUUUUCUUCUUUUGAGGUAAGCUUCAGAUCAAGCCACUCUUUAAUGAAUGAGAUAUAAAUUAACACUUACAAAAAAAUCUUUUGAUAAAUUAAACAAGUUCCGAGUCCCCAAAUCACCUCCACCACCCUUCCCCUCCCGCAUUGGCCGACUCCCUUCUCGGAUAGCUACACCGGCCACCCCACCCCACAACCAACCAUUCAUCCUUCCCUCAAGUCUCUCUUUCCCUUUCUCUUUCUUUCUUAUUGUUUCUUCCUCUUUUUAUUGCCCUCCUGUCUUAUGCCGGAGAAGGACACAAGGGACACCGGCAACCUCACAAGCUCUUAAAUCUGAGGUGGGUGACGGCAAAUUUGAAGGUGUCGCAGACCACCCUCAGGUUCAAUAUCAGAAGAGUAAUGCUAAGGAGAUUAAAAUUUUUAAACCAAAUGAUAUGUCAUAAAUAAGAAACACGCACAUUAAUCGAUACUUAAUUACUAAUCUAAUCAUCUUCAAUCAUAUCAUUUAGUUUGCAAAUUUAAUUUAAAAAUUUGGUUUCCUUAACAUUACUCAUAAUCAGAAUGAGAGUGGUAGAGAGCGAGAGGGAAGAGGAGAAAGAAAAAGAAAAGUUAAAACAUUCAAAGAGUAUCGAGUAGUACUGAUAACCCAUGAAUUUUGUUUGAUUUCAGUCAUGAGGUUGGAAUCUAUGCUAAAAAUGGACACGCACGCCCAUGCAUGCACACGCAUAAAUAUAUACAUUAAUUCUUACCGAUGACCAUGAGUAUAGCCGCUCCACGCGCUGCAAUAAAAAUAGCAAAAAGUAAAAAUCAAAUGGAAACGGCUCAAAGUUUGAAAAGUGAAUAAAAAUCAAAGACUUGACUAUAUUUUCAAGAAAUACAAGCUCUUGGGGGAGAAAGUCCCUACAAAUGGAAUUGAAUGGUAACCAUCGAGGAGCGUUUCCUGAAAUAAAUACCACACAAAAUUCAUCAACGAUAAAAUACUAGACUAUCUUUGAGAUGUGCAUAUAAUGUACCACAGUGACUAUUAAAAUAAAUUAGCAUUGAUUUGAGGGAGAAAGUCCUUACGAAAAUAAUAUACGGGUUCACGCAUAUAAUAACCUAGAGUGACAAAACAAUACACAAUUAGCAAUACCACAACGAAUCUUUAGAGUUUAAAAUCAACAAGUUUUGUAACAUAUCUUUUCAAGCAACAAUCGUAAACAUUGAAUUUGAAAGAGACUAGAAAGAUGCUUUUCUUUUCUUUUUGUUUGUUUGUUUUGUUUUGUUUUGGAGAGGGAUCACUUACGGAAUUGAUUCCACAGGAAUCGAAAUAAACCUACAGUAUAACAAGAAAACAACAUUAGCAUAACAACAGUUAGAAAAUAAAAUUCAAGUUGCUGCCAUUGUUGAUACCUGUAUAGCAUAUGAUAAAGCAACAUUUAAUUCAUUUGUCAUGCAAUUGAUAGCGGAACUAAGAUAUGGUUUUGGGAAAGGUCAUGACCCCCCACCCCCCACAACAACCCCAAACUCUUUAAUUUAGAUAAUAUCAUUUGUUCAAAAAAAUAAUCAUCAAUAUUUUAACAAACUCAAUGCCACAAUGAUGGAGAAGAGUGCUGCCCUUGCACCAUGGUGUGAAUUCGAACCGCAUCGGCUCCUAAUCUAACAAACCUAUUGUUUGACAAAAAAAAAAGAAGGGAAAACUAAAGAAAAGUCAUCAAAAACUUUAGUUUUAAUAAAAAUGAUAAAAUAAAGGCGUAAGUAAAUAGUACCAAAAGUGACUUUUCAAGGUAAAAAUGUCCUUAACUUUAAAAGUGAAUAGUACCGAAAAUGUUUCAUUAAGAUUUCCAAAAAAAAAUUAUUAUUUAAACCAUCCCCAUAUUUCUCGUCCUUCACAUCUUUCUCUCUCAAAUUAAUAAUUUUUUUAUAUGUUUAGCAAUCUCUUAACUUCUCUCCUCUUCUUUAAAACUAGAGUAACUAUUCACAAAACUAAACUAAAAAGUGCGCUAUGGAGUUUCUUGGAGCUUGAUUUUCUUAGUUUGACUCUUUAAACUAGCAUUCCAACAUAUUUAAAGAGUCUCAUGGAGAGCUGCAAAGACAAUAAAGGAUGCAACUAAAACGAUGGGUUUAUAAGCUUUAGUUUUUCAUACACCACACUAAAAAUUUCUAUUGAAGCCAUAUCGCUUUGGAUAAUACUUGCAUUCCUCUUUUGGGGAAUGAGCUCAUUCCUCCACUUACAAAUUAAUAUAUCUUUAUAGUAGAAAUUUCAUAAUUGGAACUAUUCAAUCUCCUAGUCUUCAUAUGAAAAUCAUACCUACAAAAAAUAAUUCGAAUCGGAGAUCGUUUAGUCAUCCAAAUGUAUCAAAUAAAUUAAUGGUGUAGGUACCAAGAAGCAUAAUCAUGAUGAAACGUUGAUUUCUUUGAUAGAUUUAGAUAACUAAGUGAUCUCCAACUUGAAUGAUAUUUUAUAGAGUUGAUCUUCAAUUGAAGACUAAGACAUUGAACGAUUCCAAUUAUAAAAUUUUUACAUUAAAUAUACGUUAUUUGUAAGUGGGGAUAUGAGUUCAACCCCACAAGGGGGAAUGCAAACAUUCUCAUGGCUUGAUUACUAUAGUCUAAAGUUGGAUUUCCAAUGGCAUUGUUCAUCUUUCCCCUGAUUUUGAAAAUUCACGGUUUUGGCACUGAACUCUUUCUUUGGGUGGUUCUGCGCCAAAAAGAAUGGGUUUCGGCUCUGCGUCUGGGCCCGAAGUGGGCUGCCCUGUGUGUUGGGCUGGGUUGCACGGAAAGAGUCGAAAUGACUCUUUUUCCCGCUUCAAUCCAAAUCCAACGGACAGGAUCUGGGGGCACUUUUUAUUUGGUAAAAUAUAUUUUCAUUUCACACUUUAAUAAAGUUACAGUUUAGGUAUACAUAUACAACAAACUAACAUAGUAUCUUAACCACUAAGCUAACAGCUAAGAAGAUACAUUUACAAUAUUGCCCUUUAUAUCCCCCCGCAAACUGAACUUAGGUUGUCGAAGUUGAAGUUUGUCAUGAAGGAAGAGGAAACGAAGCUUGGACAGAGACUUGGUGCAGAUAUCGGCUACUUGGUCUUGAGUGCAGACAAAAUGGACAGAGAUCUGCUUGGCAAAGACCUUUUCCCUAAUGUAAUGAUAGUCGAUUUCUACAUGCUUUGUCCGAGCAUGAAAGACAGGAUUUUUUGCUCGAGAUAUAGCAGAAAUAUUGUCACACCAAAGAUGAGGGGUGGUAGGUAAGCAGUAGCCAAUAUCCGAUAGUAAUUGACAGAGCCAGGUGAUUUCAGAUGCAGUAUUAGCAAGAGAGCGGUACUCUGCUUCGGUGGAAGAGCGAGCAACAGUCGGUUGCUUCUUAGCACUCCAGCUAAUCAAAGAGUUACCAAAAUAGACACAGUAACCUCCAGUGGACCGGCGGUCAAGAGCACAGCCAGCCCAAUCAGCGUCCGAGAAGGCAGUGAGAGUAGGAGGAGUGGAACACUUGGAGAACCAGAUACCAAUAUCAAGAGAUCCCUUGAGGUAUCUUAGAAUACGCUUUACAGCUUGAAGAUGUGAAAGUUUGGGAGUGUGCAUAUAUUGGCAUACAAGAUUAACUGCAAAACUGAGAUCAGGACGAGUCCAGGUGAGAUAUUGUAGAGCACCAACCAGGGAACGAUACUCAGAAGCAUUGUCACAUAAGGGAGAAUCAUGAUCAAGUUUGGAGGUGCUGAGAGGAGUACUGCAAGGUUUGGCACCAGUCAUGUUGGCCUUGGAUAACAAAUCCAAUAUGUAUUUAGUCUGAGAUAGAAAGAUACCAGCAGAAGAUCUUUUGACUUCAAGACCAAGAAAGUAGUGCAGCGGACCCAAAUCCUUGAUGGGAAACAGGGAACUCAGUUGCUGAAUAACUUGGUUACAGGCAUCAGAGUUUGGACCAGUAACUAAAAUGUCGUCGACAUAAACCAGAAUGAAAAUCAUAGCUGAACCCUUUUUGAUAAAUAAGGAAUGGUCGCUGGGAGAGCCAACAAAACCGAGAGAAGUGAGAGCACCAUGAAGCUUGUCAUACCAAGCCCGCGGAGCUUGUUUUAAACCAUACAACGAACGAUGCAAGUGACAGACAUGAGAUGGGUGAGCUGAAUCUUCAAAUCCAGGAGGUUGCUGCAUAAAAACUGAUUCAUUGAGUGUCCUAUGUAAGAAAGCAUUGCUGACAUCUAGUUGAUUCAAGAACCAAUCGAACUGGACCGCAAGAGUGAGGAUGAGGCGAAUGGUGACUGGCUUGGCUACCAGACUGAAGGUUUCGGUAUAAUCUAAACCUUCCUGCUGAUUGAAGCCCUUGGCAACGAGCCGAGCUUUGUACCGGUCUAUAGUACCAUCGGGCUUACGUUUGAUGCGGAAGACCCAUUUACAGCCAACAAUAUUCUGUGAGGGAGACGGGGGAACAAGAGACCAAGUUCCAGUUUUGAUGAGAGCAGUAACCUCUUCUUGCAUAGCUUGGGACCAAUGAGGAUAUUUGGAAGCUUGGAGAUAGGUUUUAGGGAUGUAAUCCACUGAGAGAUGAGAGGGAAAAGGGUGCUUAGUAGCAGUGAGAGCUUUGGGUUUGAAAACACCAGAUUUGGACCGGGUUUGCAUCGGAUGGGUGUUAGAAGGUUGAAGAGAAGUGGAAGGAACGAAAUCUGGAAUAGGCAGUACAUGACUGAAGGGAAUAGGUGUGGAAGGAUUAUGGGAGAAGGGGGAUGGGGAAAUGGAAGGGGAACGAGGGAAAGAGGGGGGAAUACUAGAGGAAGAAGAAAGAGGAAAAGUAAAAGUAAGGGUUGAUGGAAGAGAUGAGGUAGACCUAGGAGGCAGGGAUGAAGGUGGUAUGUUGGAGAUAUGAUGGAAUGGAAAACUGGAUUCAUUGAAGAUGACAUGUCGGGAAAUAUAUACUCGGUGAGUUGCAGGGUCAAGACAUCUAUAGCCAUUGUGAUUUAAACUGUAUCCAAGAAAGACACAGGCUCUGCUUUUAGGAUCCAGCUUCAAGGAAGUAUAAGGCUUAAGCCAGGGGAAGCAAGCACAACCAAAAACCUUGAGAAGGUCAUAAUUCGGAGCUCGAUGAUAUAGAGAUUCCCAAGGAGACUGUCUGGAUGCAGUAGGCAAUCGGUUGAUAAGAUAGAUGGCAGUGUUGAAAGCCUCCACCCAAUAGAUGUGGGGUACUUUGGAAGCUGUCAAAAGAGUGCGAGCAGUUUCAACCAAGUGACGAUGCUUGCGCUCGGCACACCCAUUUUGUUCGGGUGUGUGGGGGCAGGUAAGUUGAUGAUGAAUGCCAUGAGUAGCCAAAAAUUGAGAGAAACUAGUGCUCAAGUACUCUCCUCCGGAAUCAGAUCUCCAAAGUAAUAAUUUUUGUACACAGAGAAUUUUCAACCAGAGAUUUGUAUUCCAUAAAAGUGGACAGUACAUCAGAUUUGCAUUUCAAAGGAUAAAACCAGGAGUACCUAGUAAAGUCAUCCACAAAAAUGAUGUAAUACCGAAAACCUUGAGAAGAAGCUUGAAGAGAGGGUCCCCAAACAUCCAUGUGGACAAGUUCUAGAGGUUUGCGAGUUGUACAAAAAGUGGAUACAAAAGGAAGCUUGGAGCUUUUAGCCAAUGCACAAUAUGAGCAGAAUGACUUAGUUACAUGAGCUAAAACAGGAAUACAAGAUUGAGAAGCAAGUUUAUGAAGAAUCUUGACAGAUGGGUGACCCAAUCUUUGAUGCCAAACAUCCGUAGAAGCUUUAGCAGUGGUGGUGAGAGCCUUAUGAUUGCCAGUUGCAGAUUAGGAAAAAUGGAAAGGAUAGAACCCUUGCUGAACAGGUCCUUUAAAACACAUCCUCCCCGAAGAAAGAUCAUUCACAGUGAAGUGAGAGGGAUAAAGAUGCAAUGAACAGUGAUUAUCAAGUAAAAAUUGAUUUGCAGAGAGAAGGUUAUGUUUCAAAGCAGGCACAUAAAGAACUUUAUUGAGAUUGAAAGCACUAGUAGAAGUAUGCAAAGUAGUAGAACCAGAAUGAGUGAUAGGCAAACCUUUGCCUUCACCAAUAUACACUUGUUCUGGACCUGUGUAUGCUUCAGGAUUUUGCAGAGUGGAAUAGGAGUUGGUCAUGUGGGAUGUUGCUCCAGAAUCGACAAUCCAAGUAGGAUUGGAUGAAGAAGCAGUAGCAACCAUCGCUGCAGGAGAGGAUUUUCCACCAUAAGCCAGAUUGAGGCGAUGAGGACAAUCACAUGCUUCAUGAUCAAGUUGAUGACAAAUCUGACAGGGAUGUUUCUUGGUGUAGGAAGAAAAAUUGUUGCGACCUCCACGAUUAGAACGUGAAUUAUUACCACGAUUAGGAAAAGAUCUCGGAUUGUUAGAGGAUCGGUAAUUGCCACGAUUCAAAGGACCGCGAUUAUGAGAGCGAUCCACUCCACGACUUGGAUGACUGAAGUUAGAAGGAGAAUGAGCCACAAAAGCCUGAGAGUUAAGACUGGAUACAGGAAGAGGAAGAAUGCCAGCAGAGGUGUGAAGAGCCUGAAAAGAGGACAUCUCAGAGAUACUUUUCUUGCGAGUGGCUAAUUGAAUCUCCUUGCUAAGAAGCAAGCCAUGUAAUUCAUCAAUUGUUGUAGAUCCGAGACGAAAUUGAAUAGCAUCAACAAACGAAUCAUACUCAGGGGGAAGACCGUGGAGAGUGACAGAGAUCAGAUCGGAAUCUUCAAUCGGAGAGCCGGCACUGGCAAGAGCAUCAGCAAUGACCUCAAUUUGCUGGAGAUACUGAGCAGCAGAUGAAAUUCCUUUGGAAAGAUUACGAAGUCGAGAGCGUAGCUCAUGAAUAUGAGACUGAGAGGCCGUGGCAAGGCGAGAUUCCAAUUUCGCCCAAAGAUCGCGAGCCGAAUUCACACCAACAGUGUAGGGAAUGAGGGAAUCCGAGAGCGUGGAGUUGAGCCAGAUGAGAAUAUUCUGGUCAUUUUCAUACCAAGAAAUAAGCAGGAUUAAGAAUGCGAUUUCCUGAGGAAUCAAGAAGAAAUUGAACCGGCGCCGCCAUAGAUCCAUCAAUGUGACCAGUCAGAUUGUAUCGGCGAAAAAUUGGAGCAAAGAGAGCGCUCCAAGUCAAGUAAUUGGUGGUGGUGAGCUUGAUUGGCACCAUGGAUCCAAUAUUUUGGAUUGUGAUGGAGGUAGAAUUUGAAGAAUUAGGGUUCGAAGAUCCAGUCGGAAGGGGGUGAAUUGGAGAGGCCGAUUCCGAUGAAGGAGAUGCCAUUGGCAAAUAGAUGAGGAAGAGAGCACGAACAAAGAUCUUCAACCACGAUCUUCAACCACGAGCGAAGAAUCGAGCAAGAACGCAGAAAGAAGAAGCAGGAGAAAGGAGGAUCGAAGAACGAGAGUCGUUAGACAGAGAAGGCGAUUGAUACCAUAUUUGGUAAAAUAUAUUUUCAUUUCACACUUUAAUAAAGUUACAGUUUAGGUGUAUAUAUACAACAAACUAACAUAGUAUCUUAACCACUAAGCUAACAGCUAAGAAGAUACAUUUACAAUAUUGCCCUUUAUACUUUUGUCACUGCGUUUAAAGGGGUGGUUGCUGUCGAUGUCGUUGAGGCAUGGUUUGCCGAGGGGUUGAUGGGUUGCAGGUAGAGAUAGGGUUGACCAUAGGGGUUGCAGGUGGGAUGGGGUAGCAUACUUAGUCUGUGUUAUUUCAUUUCAACCAUCGACUAAAAUACACCAUUUUGGCAUCUAAGAUGAGAUCACACUCACAAUCACUACUAGAAUCUUUUCAAUUAUAGGGAAAUAUGCGUGAAGUGACAAACUUAUAAUAAAAAAAUAGAACUGGAGUGACACUAAAUAGAAGAUAGGUGAACCAACCACUACUUUCUUUCCAUUUAAAUAAAAGUCAAUUGAUUACGUUUGUGUCUUUGUGCUGUUUUUUUUUUUUUUUUUUUUUUUUUUUUUUUUUUUUUUUUUUUUUUUUUUUUUAAGAAAUGAUAGUUGAUUCAUAUUCAUAAAAGGUCAAUACAGAGUAAAGCCAAUCAUGGUUUAGGAAAGUCCUCAAAGAGUAAGUCAAGGAUUAAAUCAGGUGGGGAUUCAACCCAAUUACAAACAUGAUUAGAUGAUAAACCAAAACAUGCUUGUCUAUGGGCCACUCCGUUGGCUUGACAACGUACAUAGGUAAAAUAGGCCUCAAUGAUUGACGAGAGCAUUGCUUUGACAUCCUCAAUGACCAAGAGUGGAAACAUUAGUAGAGGGAUCCCGCAACAAGUCUACAAUCUGAAGCGAGUCCGAUUCAAAUUGGCAUCUUUGAAAAACCCUAUUGGAUGCCCAAGUCAAAGCCAAAUGUGCAAUCAGAACUUUUGCCUCAAGGGGAGAGAAGACGUUAGUGACCUGCCAGCCAUAAGGUUAUCUAUGAAAACCCCUUCAAAGAAGCAGUUUGAUAUUUCGGCUAACACAAACCUCGCUCUUGUUAAGGUUGAUUUUCUGACUGGAGGCGAGUUCAUAUGCAGUGAAGGCAUUUGACAGAAUGAGACAUUCAGGUUCCUUGGCCCAGCAGAAAAAAAGGUUGUCGUCAACUAACAACAAAUGACUGAUAGGUGGGGCCCUGAUAGGAGCAUUUUUAUGCGACUUAAUUGGCUUGUUCUCAUGCAUUUAUGUUGUUUUUCCUUAGUUAGUUUAGUGUUUAAAGUCAUUUUCGUGCAAUUUCAGGUUUUAGUGUCAAAGUAUGCAAAAAGGAGCAUUUUGGAGCUUUUAGGAGCAAAAUUGGGCUUGGAAUGAAGUACAUAUGCAUGGAGCAAGGAGUUUGGACGAAUUUGAAGUCAAAACAUCAAAUAAACAUGCUAAAAAUCUGGUGCAAUAAAUACAAGUUGAAAGAAAGGAUAGGUUUCUAGAUGGAUUGACCAAAAGUCCACUCAAAACCAUGUUCACACCUAAAAUCCACAUCCUUGCCGUGAGUUUUUGGUGUUUUCACACUAGAAAAUUGAGUGAAUGAUUCAAGACCUAACCCACCAUUAUUCUACACAUCCUUGCCGUGAGUUUUGGUUGUUUUCACACUAGGAAAUUGAAUUAAACAAGUCCAUCCUCUCCCUAUAAAUACCUAUGGCAGCAACCUCAUUAAGACAUCCAGAAAUUAACCAUUCUCCAAGCCUUUCCUUGCCUCUCCUACAUAUCUAAACCCCUUCCCAUCCAUUCCUCCAAAUAACCAACCCUUCAACAUCAUUCCAACCUUGUUGUUGCGGCAAGGAGAAGGAGAAAAGUCCUUGGACGCGCUUGCUAUCCAACAUGGAUCGUUGGAACGUUUAGGUGCUUUCUUCCCUUUGUUUUUCAAUGGUUAAAUUUCUUUAUCUUUGUUUUGUAAUAAUGAGGAACUAAACCCCCCUUGGCUAGGGGGAUUCAAAACCAUGUUUAUGCUUGCUAUAUGAUUUGAUUACUUCCAAUUGCGUUUCUUGAAUUGUGAAUUCAAUUUACUUAUCCGUUCGUAUAAAAACUAAUUUGUGUAUGUUGGUUGAGAGUGCACGCUUAAUUUUCAUGCAUGAAUUUUGACGCUAGUAUAUAAGGGAGUUUCACCUAAUCGUUAUGAACUUAUAUUCACAAGUAGUGAAGGUUGCUAGUCACAAUCACGUUAAGUAAAUUCUUGGCAUAAGUUUCAUGCAAAUCAUAGUAACGAGUGCCUCGUCAAUGCUUAUGUUUUUCAUAGAACUUAAUGAUUCUUGCUUGUAUCUCUAUUAUGCAAUUCAUGUAGGGAACUUGUAGGGAAUGUUUUGGGUUGUCGUAUGCAAUCAUCCAAUCUAAUAACUUGUUGAAAAACUGAGAGUUAAUUAGUGCAAUUCACGGUUAAUUUGGGGCGUUGAGUAUUCAUAACUUAUCGAAGAGCAAUUGGAAAUCAUUUUGUAUGCAAGCAAGACAUGUGUGGAGAAGAACCCCUUAGCUAGCCUUCCAUUAUCCAUUCAACCCAAAUUUGUUUAAAAUCUAUUUAAGUUUUUAGUUUAUUCGUUUUUUACUUUCAACUUCACCAAACUCAAAUCCCCCUUUUACUUUCUUGUUUUAAAAUCUUUUGUUUACAUUUUUAACUUUGUUUCUUUUUGUUUUUGAGUCAGUUUAGAGGUUUUAGCAAGCCCUCCUAAUCCCCGGUUUAGAACGAUACCCUACUUACAUCUAUACUACAAUUGUCAAAAAGAGGGUUUAAUUUGUGUGUCAAGUAAAAUUGUCGCAUCAGGCCCUAGAGCACAAAGAAAUUUCGCGAAUCCUUCCCCUCCAAAUUGUUCACCAAAGCCAACAAGCCUUCCGUACACAAAAUGAAGAGAUAUGGAGAGAGGGGGGUCGCCUUAACGGAGGCCUUGAGACAGAUGGAGAUAGCCCCGAGGGCAUCCAUUAAUGAUGAAAGAGUAUGAGACGGAGGAUACACACGUCAUCAUCAAGUCAAUCUGCCAAUUAGAGAACCCCAAGUUUGGCAAGGAUACGUACUCCCACCCAAUACAAUCAUAUGUUUUAUUGAUAUCUAGCUUAAAAGACAGUAACCCAUUAUUGCCCCGCUGAUGCUUAAACAAAUAGUUAGAUAGCUCCGAGGCGAGAAUGGUAUUGUCAGAAAUGUUCUAUCCCAGCACGAAAACACUCUGAGUAGGGGAGAUGAUAUGGAUUAGUAUGGAUUUAAGCUGGUUUCCUAAUGAUUUGGAAGCAAUUUUGAAAAGGACGUUGCAUAGGCUGAUUGGUCGCAAUUGAGACAUAUCAUUAGGGUUCUUUUCUUUUGGGAUUAAUGAAACUCAGGUGAAAUUGACCAGCUUAAGUAAAUUGCCAGUGGAGAAGAAGGAAAGUAUAGUGGAAGUGGCAUCCUUGCCCAUAAUAUGCCAAAAGUGUUGGUGAAAGAAAAGGGUUUUUGUCUGGGGCCCAAAGUUUGAGGGCGCCAUUUGGAAUAAGGCCGCCUUAAUUUCCUCCGCAUUGAACACCAUCCAAGGCCCUAUUCAUAUUCGCAGAGACUUUAGGUUUAACUGGGUCAAGGGUUAAAUCUCUAUUACCUGAGCUUGUAGAAGAGAAUAGGUCACCAAAGUACUUGAGAACCAUGUUUUCGUUGGUCGGGCCCUCAUUUACCCAAUUUCCAGCCUUAUCUGUCAGGCCUUUGAUUAUAUUUUUAACCCUCCUAUUGUUUGCCCUCCUGUGGAAGAAGUUGGUGUUUCUAUCCCUAUUCAUGAAGCCAUAAAACACGAGAUUUUUGCCUCCAAAAGGAUUCCUCUAGGCCAAUCAGAAUAUCAAGUUGUCACAUGAGAAUGGCUUUUUCCUUGAUGACCAUAUCAUCAAGCGAUCAUGAGAGUAAGCUGCCCAAUUUGGCACGAACCUUAGUCAGUUCAUAUUGACGACCCCUAAAAACGAAUUGACACUAUUUUGAAAGGGCCACCCUAGUAACCUUUAUCUUUUGCACUACCUGGAACAUAGGAACACCAGCGAAGGAUUGAGCCCAGGCAGCACGAAUGACGUCCUUGCACCCAUAGUGUUUUGCCCAAAAUUCCUUUUCUCCAUGUUUGCCUCUUCACGGGAAACCCACAGACGUCUAGGAUAAGGAAAACAUGGUUAGAUUUGCUUGGGUAAAGGUGGGUAACUUUGGCAGAAUUAAAGAGAUCCUGGGCAGAAGCAAGAAACCGAUCCAAGUGUUCUUUAAUUCCACAAGCUCUGGUAGUGAUCCAAGUGUAAGGAUGGCUUGUGAACCCAAGAUCAUGCAAGUUGCAAUGUUAACUGCUUCCCAAAAAUUAGGGAUUUGAUUGAUGGGACGGGCAUGUCCAUCUUCCUUUUCAGUGGGUUGAAGUAGUUCGUUAAAGUCUCAUCCAAUAGCCCAAGGUAACAAAUUGACCAAAGCCAACGAUUUGAGGAGGUCUCAUGACAGGGGGCAAUCUUCCAUCGCCGAGUGGCCAUAGAAGCCAAUGAAUCUCCAAUGAAAAUCAUCGCCAAUUGCACCAAUUUUCGAAUCAAUGAAGUGAUCAGAAAAGCCCAGAACUCGCAUAUUGAUUUCAUUAUUCCACAAAAGCACAGGCCCCUAGAUUGCCCCCGCGAGGGUACACCAAAAAACCUGUCGAAUCCCAAUUUUAAUCUCAGAGAAUAGAGGGCCACAAUGUUAACCUUGGUUUCACACAAGAAUACCAAGGUGAGAUCUUGUUGCCGGAUUAAAUCUUGUAGUGCCUGAACUUUCCAGAGGUUCCCAAGCCCUCGACAGUUCUAGACUAAUGUUAUCAUGGCUGGAGGCGGGGAUGAAACCCGUCAGCCUCCACCGAUAGAACAUUAUAUGUCGCCAUUUUCCUUUCAAGUAAUCCAUUCUUCUCAGCCUCCACCAACUCUUUGGAUAGACUUAUAGCCACAUCGUAAAGGUUAAAUUCAUACCUGGGUUCAACAUCAGACAAAUAUUCCAAGCCAUUGAGAGGUUUUGGUGCCACAACCACCGCCCCAACCACCCCUUAUGGAGGUCCACGAGCAUUGCAGUUGGCCUUGGUCGGAGUGUCAUCACUUUAUGUGGUUUGGAUUACCCUUGCCCUUGUCGCAGGUGGAGUAUAUAGAAUGUGGCUUUCAUUCACUACGUCGGAUUGAUUGAUGAGCUGGGAUGCCAUUUAUUGGCAGAAGCAUCGAAAUCCCUGAGAUUCGUUUGGGGUGGGAAGUAGUCCAGUAACUUGAAGUUUGUUGGGUUCACACUAACUUCGUUCGAGGCCUGGAAAAGGCCUGUUGAAUUUUGGAAGGCCUAAGAAGGUAGGCGGUUAUGAUCAAGCUAGUAUUUUUUCAAGCGAAGGGACAUUGACAACGAUAGUAAGGGUCUCAUUGGAGAAUUGGGUCCCAAAGCUGUCUGGAUGCUACAUAUGGCCCAAUUCAGAAGUUAAGCGUGAUCGAGCAGUGGAGGAUUGCCCAGGAAGGAUUGGUGUAGGAUUGACCCUUGAUUCUGUGUUUGUGGGAAACCACGAUGUCAAAAAAAGUAGAGGACACAGAGCCUGCAGAUGGUACCGCAGGGGGUUUGUCCCCUGCAAUUCCAGAACCGUCGGUAAUUUCUUUAUCCUUUCUCAUCACCAGAAAAUGUGUUUGGACUAAAACUUGAUUUUUUGGCCCAAGGAUGGAGUCGGCCCAAAAGGAGGCCUAGAGGAAUAGAAGAUCAAGGCCCGGCCGAAACUUGGGAAAGCAGGAAAGGGCCUUUUCUGACUUGAUACAAUUCAUAAGGGCCACUUGCCUACCUACCCAAGGACCAAGUGGUGUAGACUAAUCAGACUGCACAGCCCAUAAAGUACUUUAUGGUGGCAUUACAUGUAAUAAAGCUGAUGAGUCAUCACCCUCAAGACCGCAUUCGGGCAAAGCUGUCGCUACAGGAGCCAAACCGAGUCGUCUAUAAAAGGAGGAAGAGAAGACAGGAAUAGAGACACUCAAUCAAACAAACAAAAGCACAAACUCUGCUCAAAAAGCCAGAUUUGCCUUUCAAAACGAAGCUGUAAUCAGCCCAAGCCUUCAUCCCCCGCGGGAUAAUCUUUUCUCCCAACCUCUGUAAUAGCUCUGCUACCUUGUUCGAACUUGUUGUAGUAUCGAUUCACCUUUUGUAUUCUCCUUUCCCCUCUCCCCCUCUAAGCUUUCAGACCUUUGACAGAACUACAAAAGGGACCUGCAAGACGAUCAGCCUUAAUUGAUAAGGUUUAAUCUUGCCCGACCUGCUUUGCUCUGUCUUUGUCUUCUCUUUCUUUAAAGUCUAGCAAUAUGUUGUAUAUUUCCAGUUAUAUGCAAGUUGUUUCUAGCAAAAUCACAAUGACAAAGCUUUCUCAGUACUUGGAUCCGAUUUGAAUAUAUCUUCAGUGUUUAAAUCAGAUCCAAGUCCUAAGCCCUCAGGCAUGUAAAUCUGAUUAGUUUAAAAGUCCUUGGCCUCAAGGCAUAAAAAAGAACUUUAUGUGGACUUAACCCAUCCACGACAAUCCUUGAUAAACGAGAAAUCCGAAGUUACUUGGGGCGCAAGUAAUCGACCUACCUCUUGGUUUUAUUUCUAUUAUAUCAUGAUUAUCAUAGAACGCUUAAGUAUGGAAUGGAUUCUGAUAGGAAGCCUCAAUGCCUACACCUAAGGCCCCACAAAGGCACUUAUUUGGAUUCAUUCUAUUCUGCGGUCUAGAUGGUUUGAGUAUAAGAACGGACUUUAAUGGGAAGCCUUAAGGCCUACACCUAAGGCCCCACAAAGCCACCUAUUUGGGUACGCUCUACCUCUCAGACUCGGAUAAUCAGAAAUAUAAUAGUUAUAAGACUCCGACAACCAUAAAGACCAAAUAUAUAUGCUCAAGUACUGGUUUAGUUUGACAGGAAGCCUCAAGGCCUACACCUAAGGCCCCACAAAGGCACCUGUUAUAUCUAACACGGUUUCUCAGGCAUAUGCAUAUUCAUAACUAAAACUUGACAUCCAUUCGACAUCUGCCAUGCUGAAGAUGGCAGUGGCACGCCUGAGCACUAAAAUGUUAACCUUGAUUGUGAGCCUUAAGGCCUACACCUAAGGCCCCACAAAGGCACCUCUCAAAGUUAACGAUGUCCUUCUCUUUUAGCCUUGCCCGAAGAGUCUUGCCCGACGAGACUUGCCCGACAAAGCCCGACAGCAGCCCUCAACCGGCGCCGAACCUCCAGGGGAGCUGUGUGCUCGUCGGCCAGGAAACAUCCCCGACGGGAAUUCCUACCACGAACAAAAUGAUUCAACAGAAUAUGCAUCUCGCCAUCUGACAGCCAUAAAAGUCGCCACUUCCAGUUUUACAGGUGUCGAAGUCCACGUGUAGUCGCAGGAAUCCACAUCUUCCACCUCUAACACCGACCCAAUUUUUUUCCCCCAAGGAUUGAGCAUUGGCCUUAGUGCGAAAAUUCCUCAGGAUGUCGUGGGCUUGGAUCUAGAAGAUAGCACGGUCAAGUUUGAUGUCAUCAAUCGAGUGGUAUAGGGGCCAAAGUUUAACCGAGAAAGUAAUCCUUCACAAACCAUAGGUUUCCUUCCAUAAGCUUUCUGGCUACCACCUCAUCCCCGACAGCAAUGAUAUAUUUGUUAUCCUUAGCUUUUGAGGACACGGACCACCCCCAUUUUGUUCCAGGCUGAUUGGAGGGUUUCCUUAACCACAUUCUGGGAGGGUUCAUGGUCGGCAAUGAGUUGUCCCACGAGAUGGAUGGAGCUGUCAAAGCGUUCCUCCAAGUCGAGGCUAUCUUCCAGAGUUAUAUUCAGAUAGUCAACAAUCUCAUCUUUAGUAGCCAUGGCCACCACAAGAAGAAGCCGUUGAAGGAGACAAGAUCCACAGGGGAUACAAAAAGGAGCUCACGCCAAUGGUGCCAGAGCUAGGGUGCCGGAGUGUCAGAGCUAAGGAGUCGUUGAACCAAGCUACUCUUGUACAUGACAAUGAGCUCUACAUAGUAAGCUAUUUAGAGUUUUGUUCCAGUUUUGAUUAUGCACAAUUUCAAUUUUAAACUUCAAAAAAUUUUGAAAUUGGUUUAGGGUUACUGAAAUUUUAAAAGCAAAAAAAAAAGACAUUCUGCAAUUAAAUGCAGAGACUGUUAGGUCUAAAAGAAUAAGAAAAUGGAGAGAGCAGCAUAACAUUACUACUACUAUACUAAGAACAACACGAAACUGGCUUUGGGUAAGAUUCCACUAUGUGUAUAAUCUCCUUCAAAAGUGAUUUUGGAAGAGAUAAUGUCAAAUUCAUAUCUGAAUAAGGAAAUAAUAUGCAUGUAUAAUGAAGUAGGGUUUGUUUCUAAUUUGGGGUAAUUGAUCGAUAUUUUGCCGAAAUUUUGUAGAAAUCUUGAUCUUGCUUCAAGGGGCCAAAUUAAUUUGUAGUUUAAACUCGAGAUUUUUUUUGGUUCAGAGAGUUUUACUUUUAUUCAUUGAAUUUUCUUUGCAUAAUUUUUUUGUUGUAAAAGUUUAAUGUUGUGUUGUUGUUCAUGAGGAAGAGGACUGAAACCCAGCUGCGUGAAGAAGGUAUGGUUUGUGACAGUUAGUUUUAAUUUUCCAAGCUUCCUAAAAGUUUUGGAGUAUCGUCUUUGGGAUGUUUGUGGAUCAAUUUUUUUUUUACACCUUGAAUUGAAUCGUAGCUUCUGAUGUUUGAAACUCUAGCACUUUUAGUUAGUUAAGGAAUAUUCAAUGUAGUUGACCGUCAAAAUUGGUUUUGUUGUCGUACUAUGAAUCUGCAUCAUUGAUUAAGUUUAUUUGUGUCUCGACCCUAUGUACAUGAUACAUUUUUUGUAGUCAUCUUUUGAUGUGGAUCAUAUAUUGUCGUUGUGAACUAUGCAAAAGAGGAGAGACUAAGGAGAGAAGCAGCAGAAUGGAUGGCAAAAUUAGGCAAGAUUGCUGAAAUACAGAGGCAAAAAGGGAGGAACUAGAAGAAUUAGUUGCGUACAAAAGCUCUUUUGAGGUUGUGCUUAAGAAACCAAAUUGUAAAUAGCCAUCAGGCCCACCGCAAUGUUGAAUAGUACAAACAAAUAUCUAAAGAUAAUGUUGAGUUUUGAUAUCGAAGUUAAACUUCUAAUGCAUUUUGUUUGCGCUGUGUGUAGAUGCAAAGGAAAAGGUGGAGGCUGACAAUUCAUCAGAUUAUAAGAUCGAGAAGAUAAGAAGAUAGUUGGGGAUACUAAUUUCAUACCAGCUGGUCGAAGUGGAGGGAAUUUGAGAUUCUAGAAGAUUCAGGAAGUUGACUAAUACAAUACCAAAUAGUAUUGUUGAUUACUAUUAAUUUUGCUUUAGAUUAGUCUCAGUUGUUGAUUAAUAUUAGUUUGGGGCUAAUUACAACCCACGUACGACUGAAGGCUUACUGAAACUAAGCAUGCUUGAUUGAAACUAUGGAUUGGAUAAUCUACCAUUUCGUUAUGGAACUUAGACCAAACUCUAUCCUUGACUAGAGAGGUGUAUGUGCCUAAUUUCUCCAACUAUGGCCAUAUGUAUAUAAAUCUAGCUUUUGUAGCAUCUCUAUCUUUUGAGCAUUCAGAACUUGAACGCUGUCAAUCUUUUGAUAACUAUGAACUUAUGCACAUAAAUCUACUUUUUUAGCAUCUCUAUCUUUUGAACAAUGCGUAAUUUAACGUGCCAAUCUUUUGAUAACUAUAGAUUUAUGUAUAUAAUUCUAGCUUCUAUAACCUGUAUCUCCUAUCUAUUUUCAAAACAUUUUAAACACCAACAACAUCGUGCGGGCUCUUUUGCUAGUUAUUUCUAUUCCAGCAUAAUUUCGUUUGUUUUUCUUCUUUAAUUGGCAAAUUUCCGUAUAGUUUUUCCCUUUGGGAACUACGUAGUGAAGGCUUCAAUUGGUUAGUUAAAAGCUCAGAUUAUUUGAAUAAAAACGUCUACAAAAAAUCUAAAUGAAAAAUGUUCAAACUAAUUUGAAUAACUUAAAGCAGCUUGUGCAGCCGGAGGUAAAUUCGAAUAAUUAACUAGCAGUUGAUUUUUGCAUGAAUAUUCACUGCUUGGCAACAGACGAAUAUUUUAUAUAACAAUAUAAUAAGUCAGUACUUCAUUAGAGAAUUACGCACCUGGGAUGGUGUUUGGAAAACAUUUAGGAUGAGGAAUGUCAGAACUAUAGCCUUUGCAGGUCAAUUUAUCGGGCAAUUCAUCGGGCCAAUUCACUCCAAGCUCAAAGCCAUACAUGAGUGCACUGUGUAUAUAUUCAUAAGAGGGCUUGUAGUACUUCAAAUGCAUCAAAGCAAUCCUCUCUGCUCUGCAACCCUCAUUCAAUUCCCCUACUUUCAUAUCGUUUGGGCCAACCUUGACAUAACUAUAAGAUUUUGGUUGAAUCAAAGAAGUGGCAGUACUAUUCAAGCAUGGAGCAGUAUCCACGUACAGAGAAGAAUUCACUGGGUUUCUACACCUCAAGUAAAAUAUUGAUGUUGAAAGUCGUAAAUUGGUGGUGGGAUUAUACGAACGAUAUGGAUCUCUUAGUGAAUAAGGGCCGGGAGGCAAAUUUCGAGGCAUGGAAGAGCAAUUGUUGUUGUCAAGGCCAGGAUCUAGAAGUCGGAGUAUUUUGUUAUUGUAGUUGAUUGUCUGUACGUAGUAUUUACCAGAAUAAGGUAUAUCACCAUAAUAAGGUAGAUCUAGUAUUGUAAUGUUGUUCUCACAGGAAAGAGUAUACAGAAUGUGGCCGCAGUGCUUUGGAUCAUGUUUUAGUCGAAAAGGGUAGCUUAUGUUGCGAAUAUUGCCGCAGGAGGAGGUACAGUUUGUACUAUCAUCCUUAGCGUUACAAGUUUCACUGCAAAAGCAAAGAAGAAAGGCUAAAAUAAAGGUCAAGGACCUGCUUCCACUAAUUUCCAUUGGAGAGAGAGGGGGAGAGAGAGAGAGAGGUGUACUGGUAAACACCAAGUAGUUAAAUAAUAUAGGAGAGAGAACCUUCUGGGAAGUUGCAGUAAGCACUUCAAAUAUCCAAGAGAAAAGUCAGUCAAUGGCAGAGACCGACUUGUGUAAUAAUAAUGAUCUCUCUCUAUCUCUCUGUGAGGUGUACUAGUAAACACCAAGUUGUUAUAUAAUAUAGGAGAGAGAGGUGUACAAGUAAACACGAAGGGGAGGGGUUAAAGCACCUUCUGGGAAGGUGCAGUAAGCACUUCAAAUAUCCAAAAGAAAAGUCAGUCAAUGGCAAAGACCGACUUGUGUAAUAAUAAUGAUCUCUCUCUCUCUCUCUUUCUUUAAUGGAGAACAGAGUAUAAUUAGUACAUAUUAUAUCUCUUCUUAAUUACACAAAAGAAAAUUGGGGUUUUUGAACUUAAUCUUUGAAGAAGAUUAAAGUUUAAUAAAAAUCUGAUGUUAAAUUGGAUAUUGAUUUUGAUCCUUUAAUAUUUACUUAAUUCAAAUUCAUAUUAUAUUUUUGUUUUAAUAUUUAAUAGAUGUCUUAUUUUAUUUGAUGAGAUCUUAAAUUCGAUUCUCGCUAAAGGUAAAUUUGAACCAUAUUAUUGUAAGUUUAUUGCCCAUCCCUUCCCCUUAGUGUAGAUAAUAUCAAUUGUUCAAAAAAAAAACAGAGAUGUCUUUUUUUUUUUUUGGAGAAAUUAGGUUCUCAUCCUUCAUUUUGCUACUCCAUUGAUUAAAUUCAUAUUCAUUUUCAAUUUUUGAUCAAGGUCCUUGGGUAUUAAUAACAUCAUUAAUUAUUUCAAUAAUAAAAUAUUUUUUUAUUUCUAAAUAUAUUCAUUUAAUGUUAAAAAUGUUACAAUUAGUAUAUUUAUAUUUAUGACUAAAUUUUUUAUUAUAUAUUUUUAGUUUUAAUUUGUACCCAUUUUUAAGUUGUAAUUCUUUUUUAAUUUGUACCAAUUUUCUUUUCAGUUUUAAUUUGUACCCAUAUAUUAAUUUCUUUUUGUGCCCAUAUUUUUAAGUUUAUUUGUAUUUGUACCCAAAUAUUUUUUUUAUUUGUACUUUUUAUUUUGCUAAAUGUACCCAUGCUAAUUAUAUGUACCCAUUCAUGUAAUUUAAUCUUAAAAUGUACUCAUUCUUAAGUAUACCAAUUUGUUAUAUGUAAAAUGUACCAUUUUUUUUAUAUAAAAUCUAUUCAAUUUUUUUUCUAAUCCAUUUUUAAACUUAUAUGGGUACAUUCUUUUUUUUUUAUGAUUUUAAAAUGUAUCCAUGUCAAGUUUAAUCGAAGAAAUUUACUAAUGUUAUUAAGCCUAAUAUAUAUAUAUAUAUUGUGAUUUUGAAAAAUGUACCCUUGUUUUGAUACAAUAAUUUUUUUGGUUAAUUUUGAUGAAUGUACCCAUGUUUAUAUAUAUACACACACAAUAGUAUAUUUAUAUUUUAAUAUUUUUAAUCCCACAAAUUAUUGUUUUUUAUUUAAAAUCUCAAUUCUAUAAACAACUAAAAUUUCUAAUUUUUAAUUUAAAAAAUAUAGUAACGUACAUAGAAAUAAAUUAUUACAUUAAUUUCAGAGACCUCGAUCAAAAAUUAAAAACCAACAAGGUUUCAAUCAAAGAAUAUUCAUAGCUAAGGACCGCAUCCAAAGUCUCCCUUUUUUUUUUAAAUAAGGUACGAUAUUCAUUAAAUAGAAUGGAGCGUACAAAUAGAAGGAUAGCAGUGUAUACAUGGGUCUGGAUAAAAAUCUCAUCGGGACUUUCAACUCGAUCUAAAGAAAAAAGAGUGUUUCGUACCUAACAAUCAACUAAGAGUUUUCUCUCUUCACGUAGCAAAUCAACAGUACAAUUAAAUAGACAUAUCUUCAAAAAGUGCAUCCAUGAUUAAACCUAGAGGUUCCCCAUGCCAUCUUAACUCUUGGCUCGAAUUAAUCCCCAUGUCAUUACAUUAAAUUUUAAAUUUAUUAUUAUACAUUUUAAUUCAUUAAUUUUAUUUGCUUCCUUUAACUAUUGUAUGUCACAUCCCGGCCCGAGACGAACCACAUCCCGGGUCCGUUCGACCACCGUAGCACGAUAUUGUACUAUUCCCUCACGGUUUUGUUUUUUGAAAACUCACGAGCAACUUCCCAGUUGGUCACCCAUCCUGGGAGUGCUCUGGCCUCCUUCUCGCUUAACUUCGGAGUUCCUACAGAACCCGAAGCCAAUGAACUCCCCAAAGGCCUCGUGCUAGGUAGGGAUGAGAAUAUACAUUUAAAGAUCACUCCCCUGGGUGAUGUGAGAUGUUACAAUCCACCCCCCCUUAGGGGCCCGACGUCCUCGUCGGCACACUUCCGGCCAGGGAUUGGCUCUGAUACCAUUCUGUCACAUCCCAGCCCGGGGCGGACCACAUCCCAGGUCCAUUCCACCACCGUAGCACGAUAUUGUCCGCUUUGGGUUUACCAUUCCCUCACGGUUUUGUUUUUUGGAACUCACGAGCAACUUCCCAGUGGGUCACCCAUCAUGGGAGUGCUCUGGCCUCUUUCUUGCUUAACUUCGGAGUUCCUACGGAACCCGAAGCCAAUGAGCUCCCAAAAAGCCUUGUGCUAGGUAGGGAUGAGAAUAUACAUUUAAGGAUCACUCGCCUGGGCGAUGUGGGAUGUUACAUUGUACCUAAACAUCUGUAUCAUAAUAUAUUUUAUUAAACUAGCGUACCGAAAUGCCUGUACCUAAAUAUAUUGUAAUGAAUCAGUGGCACAUAAGAAAAUAUGCAAAAACAUAAGUGUACUAAAAAUUCUGUACCUAAAUAUAUGAUCCUAACUAGUGUACCGAAAUGUUGGUAUCUAAAUAUAUUAUACUAAACUAGUGUGCCGAAAUGUUCGUACCUAAACAUAUUAUAUUAACCUAGUGUACUGAAACAUUUGUACCUAAAUAUAUUGUAAUGAAUUAGUGGCACAUAAAAAAAUAUGCAAAAAUUGUACAGAAAAAUCUCAACAGAAAUAUUUUUUACAUAAGAUACUUAACAUAAUGAGAAUUAAAAUGUCAUGCCCCGAUCCCGACAUACAUCCAGGAUCGACACGUGACGUUACUAAAUACCCAUAUCUCAACAUACCCCGUCUCUAGAAUAUGGCAAAUCACAACUCGAGAAUCGAAUCGCAUAGUCAUUUUUCUGUAUACUUUAUGGCUGCAUCUAACCUCCCCGAUAGACUGCCUACGUAUCCUUAUUAGGGAUCAAAUCAUUCGUAGUUUGUCCUUUCGCUACACUUGAACAUUCAUCAUAUAAACCACUGUAUCUCAAUAUAAUACCACAAUUCAAUUAUGUAGCACCUCAAGGAGCAUUUAACAAGGCAUAAUAUUAAUCUCUAUUCAUAUCAUCACUUAUCCACACAUAUGCAUUCCAACACCAUCCAAUUAUCACAUUAAUCAAUAAUGCCAAUCACCAUAUCAUCAAUAACACAUACAAUUCAUCGAACUGCAGGGCUAGAGCGACAUGAUUCAGCCAAAGCCUACAUCUCUGAAACUGUCUCAAAUGAAUCAAAUGAUGCGAUUUCGAACCACUCAACGAAAUCCAUCAACAUCGGGUUUCGGACCUCUCAACGGAACCAAGACACCAAAGGGGAUUCCGGACCAUCACUCAACGGAAUCGCAGAGUAGAAGGGAUUCCGGACCAUCACUCAGAAUCGCGAAGUAUAAGGGAUUCCGGACCAUCACUCAACGGAAUCGCGGAGUAGAAGGGAUUCCAGACCAUCACUCAACGGAAUCGUGGAGUGGAAUGUAUAACAUCAGUCGAUGAAAUAAGACAUGGACCGAGUUACCCAAGUUACAAAGACUCAACGAAAUGAGAAAUGAAAUAAUGACACGAGGGUGAAACACAUUUCAAGCAACAAACCCCAUGACAAUGGGUUAGCGGCCCACUACUAGCCCUCACAUUUCAUCACAUCCAUCCAAUCAUACAAUACAACCCAUAUUUCCAAUGCACAAGUCAAAUCAUACUUAAUGAAAAUAGAUUGAUGGCCAGAAACAAAAAUAACAGUUCAAUAGAUUUCACAUUUAAUAAACAUAGAUCUAUGGCAUAAAUAUAUAGAAUUCACAUUUCAAUAGAAAUCACCUUUAUAAGGCCAAGGCAUAAUCACAUAUGAUACUAAUAUAAAAAUCAAGGUAAUAGCUAUAUCACAUAUACACAAGUCAUUCUCUAACCAAUGUAGACUGACUAGACUUCGCUUAAUCUUCCAUAGUACUAAUUUUAGUAAUUAGGAUGUUUCAUGACAUGUUGACCAAAAGUCAACUCUCGAUCAACAAUAGGGUCCACAAACUUACGUAGUUUGAUCUGGAAGAUCCGCACCUUGGAUUUCCGAUCUGUAACUUUCCAAAGUCCACAUUAUGCUCAAAUAACUACAUACUAAAAUCUCAACAAGAUCCGACGGUUGGAUCUCCGCCAAUUUCAAAAUUCAAGUGGCGGUCGACAUUUAAUUUUACAAACUUAGAAAUCCAAAUAUGGAAGAUCCAUAUGUCAGAUUCCCAAUCUGUAAAUUUCUAUGAUCCUCAAAUAUUACGUAUUACAACAUAUCAAAGUUUGGUGACGAUCCAACGGUCGGAUAGUCGAUUCUUAUUUUCACCUAACCACGUAUCAUAAUAAAAUUAGGUUCAAUUGCUCAAUCUACGUCAUUCGAUUAUCAAAACUGAAUUUAAGACAACAAACAUAGCCUAAAAAUAACAUUGAUGGCCCACUAGCUACAUGUCGCCGCACGUGCCGCCGUGGGUGGCGGUCGACCGCCCCGACUUGCUAGAAAAUUCAACUAUUUUUAAAAAUUACCAAAAUUUAUAGAAAUGAAGAUCUCAAUGAGUAGAACAAGUUUUAUACCUGUGUCGAAGUCCAAUUUGGCCAGGAAAAGCUCCAAUUUUACUAAAACCCGCCGGAACCCUAGAAAUUGGGUAUAGUUUAAUUCAACGUCAAACUCAACUCCGCCACCUCCAAUGUUGAUUGGGGUUUGUUCCUGGAAUCAAGAGGAGUUGAAUAAGGGUGGUGGCCGUCGUCGGUGUUUGCAGAAUCAGCGGAAUUGCCGCGGUGGAGUAUGAGGACCAACGUGGUUGUUCUUCGCGAAAUCAUGCCCAAAUCAUCUCGAUUUUGGUGGAAUAGUGUAGAUGGGAGGUCACUGAGUUGAUUUAUGGUGGUGGAUGGCUGCAAUUUGCCGGAAAAAUCAAGAGAAACCGUCGAAAAAUUUGUAGGUAACUGGGUCAGGUCGAAAAUGGGGGACCGGUAAAGGGAUCCGGUGUCCCUCCCCUCUCCUCAUUUUUCCUCCUUUCCCCUUCUCCCAUUCGUCCCUUCUUCCUCUCUCCUCCCUUCCGAUUGGCUAACCCUCUUUCUUCCCUCCUGAAACUCUUCUCCUGCUCUCUCCCCUGCUGCCCUCUAGCAGCUCUAUUUAUUAUUAUUUUUUAUUAUUUUUUUUCUUUUUUUUCCUCUUGUUUUCUUCUUUCCUCCCCCAUUUCUAAUUAGUCCCUUUUCCUACCAUGUGGGAGUUUUACAAAUAAAUUAAAAUCUAUAGUUUAGUAACACAACUUCAAAUAUCCAUAACUAUACCAUUAAAACCUGGACUCGCAAACGGCUUUCGCCUAUGCGUUCGUGAUCUUGAAAUCUAUUCAACAAUAUAAAUUGUGACCUCAAAAGGUCUACGGAUUUUAACUAAUUAAUUUCCAAACUUCAAACUUCGUAACUAAAUUAAUUAAAAUCUAAAUUCAGACAAUUAAAAUAAAUUGUCCAAAAAAAUAAUAUAAAUCUCAAUAAUACAAAUACGUAGAUUAUAAAAGUGAAAUCCAAGAACAGGAUUUCACAUAAAAUUUAAUUUAUGAACACCAUAAAAUUUUAAUAAAAAAGAGAGACAUUGAAUACAUAUGAUGGCAUUAAACAGAGUCUAGGGACUAAAAUCAGUUUUUAAUCUUGUAUAAAACAUUUUUCUAAACUUCAUUUUAUUUAGGGAAAAUUAGAAUCCCCUACAGUUUUUUUUUUUUAUAUCAUUUAGAUUAAACAUCUGUGCCUUUUUAAAAUUUGAUUAAAGUGUUUUGACCAAUAACCAUCUCAAGCUAAAUUACAUGUCAUUAUUAUAUUUUUUAAAAUUAAAAUAAUUUUUUAAUUUAUCCUUUUCGCAUGAUGCACUUUGCCUUAUUUAGUGGAGAUAUUAGUAAUUAAACUAUAUUUUCUCUUAUUCCAAAUAUGUUUUUUCGAUCACAAUUUUUUUUUCUUUUUUUUUGGUUAUGCAAACAUUUAAUAUUUUUUUUUUUCAAAUGGUUUUUUUUUUUUUCAAAUAGUUGGUGAUCAACAUAAAAGCUCCGUGUAAUUUUUUCAAUUUUUUGUGAUUUUUUUUGUGCUGUUUUUUUUAAGUAUAGUUGUUGACGAAUUAUUAUUAGGUACAAUACAUUACGUAUAUAUUAUCUGCGAGUACGUUUGAAUUUACAAAAAUCAUUAAUUGGUACGUUUAUUUGUAAUUUUGGUACAUUUGAUUUGAUACAUAUUGUUAAUAUUGGUACAUUAUUUUUAUUUUGGUACGUUUUAUUUUGUACACAUUGUGUAUUGGUACAUUUAUUGACACACCCUGACCUAAAUCAAGGCAUGCUGACCGUCAAUCGAGAGUGACGUAACUAAUUUAGUACUAAAGAUAUAAAAACGUGAAUAAAUAAAAACCAACCUAGCUAGCUAACUAACUAAUUUACACUAGAUAAGAUAUAAAUGCGAGUGACAAGAUUUAAGCGUAAUUACACAUAAUUAGAGCAUAGCUAACCCAAGUGCAAUCCAGCAUGACAAAUACUAAUUAUACAAUACCAGAGAGAUGGUCCUACAUUAAUUACAGUCUGUCAAAACCGCCGCUAACUCCUCGUAAGCCACCAACAAGCACUCCUACCUAGAACCUGGUGGGGCGCAAAACAAAAAGUGUGAGUGGGCAAAAACAAAGCUUUUCCAAACCAUUUCACUUAUCAAAAGUACUAACCCCUCAUCGUAAAACCCGUAUAAUUUCCCAGAAAAUAAGAUACAUAUCUAUAUCAAACCAUAUUCGGAAUAGCAAAAUCUCCAUGUAUGCCAUGCCAAGUAUCUCAACAUAAAGAAAUAAGUAAACCAGGUGAAGAAAAUUAAUAAAAAGUAAUAGGUCAGCCGGAUCCACCUAUUGUGGCCUAUACGGCUGAACCUAUAACUCAUCAACUAUCCCUGCACACGAGUCGGAACCACCUAUAGUGGUCGGUACGACCAAACUAGGUGUAAAUAAGUACGCUCAAGUGCUACGAUCACGUGAAGACUGUGCGAAUAAUCGCGGGUCACCUACAAGUCGGAACCACCUAUUGUGGUCUGUACGACAAGACUGUGCACCAAACUUGGAUCCAAGGUGAGUGUGCGGUGCGAGAGGUGAACACCACGUGAAUGACUGUGCUCUGGCCACGAGCGGGAGCACUAACACCGGGAUGCAGGUUAAUGAGCUCUAAAUACAUCUAUGUACCACCAUCAUAAUGCAACUCACAAUCAUCAAUACAUAUACUCACCUGAAACUUACCUAAGCAUCCGCAACGUCAAAUACUAGCAUGCCACAUUACUAAUGUAUAUUCUAAAAUAUAAAGCAUUUGACAUGGCAUUAAAAACACAAAAUCAAUUAAAUCAAUUUUUAUGGGAAAAACAUAAUGCAUAUAUAUACAUAUAAUGAAAACCAAAAACCCACUUACUGAUAUGUGGUAAGGUCGUAACCCCCGAGCCUCGCCUGACUGCGCUCGUCCUCUGGAAACGUCUCACCUAUAUGUGAAACAACUAUUUUAACGUUAUUUUAAGCACAUAACCAAAACUAUGAAAUAACUUCUCAUACGUUGCUCAAUUGGGGUGUGUGAAUAUACCAUCAAGGCCUACACAACCCCACGAUCAUCCCCAUAUUUUUAGAAAAAAUUUCCGAUGUCCCACGCGCCCUCACGCGCCGGCCAAGGCACGACCAUGCGCAAGCACGUGCCUGGCACACGGACGGAACCUUUAACGCCGUUAAAGAAUAUUCCGUUAAAUAAUGGAAUAUACCGUUAAAUAUACUUGACGCCGUUAGGUAUAUUCCAUCAAACUUGAUGGAAUAUUCGCCUUCUCUUUCCUUGAUUCGCCGGAGUCCGGCGGCAGUCACUGCUGCACUCGCCGGAAACUGGAAAACUGGAAAACUGAAAAACUUCAAUAUCUCUUCCAUUUCAACACCAAAAUUCAUGAAAUUUGUACCAAAAUGAAGUUCUCAACUAGGAGAACAUGAUCUUACCACUUUUAGAGUCCCUAAACCAACGGAAAUUGGCCAGAAAAAUUUCGUGAAAACCGGCUAAGUCUGCAACUCAAAGAACUCGAGUGUCCCGACGUCCAAAACCUUCCAAAAUUCCUAUAACAACUUCGUAAAGCUGUUUUAAGACUCUCUAGUACCUUAAAACCCCGCGUAACACUCGCGACCAAGCUCGAGCAACAGGACACUUUGUUAGAGCUCACAGGUUCUCGAGUUCCCAAAGUCCUUACGUCCAACUAAGGGUAUAGCUCGACUCCUGAGCUUACAAGGAACUUGGAAAUGGCCUCCACUAUGUCGAUUUGUGCAAGAUGAAACUAGUUGGGUGUGUGUGUGUACAGACUGUACGGACGGAAAGAGGUUUCGAGAAAGAGGGUGACAGAUGCAAGUUGCACGUGUGUGUGUGUGUGUGUGUGUGUGUGUGUGUGUGUGUGUGUGUGUGUGUGUGUGUGUGUGUGUGUGUGUGUGUGUGUGUGUGUGUGUGUGUGUGUCUUGAUCCAGAUUAGGCACCCAUAUACAAUCCUAAAACUCUAAUUGGGCCACCAGUUAUAAGCUAAAAAAAAAAACCAUCCAAAACAACCCCAUAUUUCAAUUGGGUCCAAAGAAGUAGGAAAUGAAAUAAUUGGUCCAUUUUUCUUAGCCCAUAAAUACAUUCACAACCCAACGCUCAAGGGUAAAACCGUCAUUUCCACGCUUUCGAGAAUCAAAUAUAUAUUAAUUCGGGACACGUCGUCACAUUUAUAUUAUUCUCAAUCCUAUUUUCUCUCAACGCAAAAGAAAAACUUAUUUCAGUACGUUUGAUUUUGUGGGAUUUAAAAAUAUUUUAAACUAUUUUGGAAAGAAAAUAUCUUAAAUCGUAGAUAAUUAUUGCUAAAUUGUAGCAUUAUUGUGAAAAUAAAUUGAAUCUAACCAAUUUUUUUUUUUUUUUUUACAAUUAUCUCUAACGGAGGAGAGUGUAAUUAAAAAGCUAGAUUAUAGGAAAUUUGUUACAAUAUAAUAUGCAUAUAGCACCAAAAUUAUGACCAAAAAAAGUUUAAUCAAAUCACUAAAAGACAUGAAUGUUUGAUCUAAAAAAUUCAGAACUGAGACGCCUAUAUCAAAUGAUCUCUAUUUAUUUAAUGAUUAAAAUCUAGUUUUCUAUAAUAUUAACAUUGAACGUAUAAUCCUUCAAACGUAAAUUAAGGGACUUUGUUUCCGGUUCUUGUUUUGACUUUCUAUUUUUUGGGGUUACCGUAGAAGGAUGUAGCAACCCCACCCCAAGUUUUUUUCUUGAAUCUUUUGACACUCCGCCAAACUUCUCUUGGAAUUUUAAUUAGAUGAAACAAUAUGAAUCUUGAACAAAGCAAAAGCAAAACGUAAUACGUAGAGAUUGAAUCAUUGUAGUGGAAGUGGAUGCUGGGUACUCAACACUCAUAGGAAAUCAUAAGUCCAAGAAUGAAAACUCUCUUAUCGGUUUCUAUCUAAAAUUUUGGAAUUAUGUGUGUGUUGCAACGAUUGUCCAGGAUUAAUCUUUAUCUAUUAAAUUUCAAAGGAAAAUAAGCUUGGGGUGUAAAUGUUGAACGAAUGAAUUUUCGACGAGUUGGAAAGGGAUUGUGCCUUUAACACGCUAUUUUUCUUCCUCUUAUGCACUCAUGGUUAUUAAAAGACAAAUAAGUAUGACUUUACAUAAAGAAAGAGAGAGAAUAUUUUCCUUUGAAUAAAUCAACUAUUUGUUUAAGAAGAUGUGGAUGCUGAUUGAAGCGUCAUGCAAAUACGAAGAACGACCUUGGAGGGAGAUGAGACAUUCAUUAAAAGCCAAGAAAAAAGCCGCAUUUUCUAAGUGAUAGUUAUUGACACGAUACUUGAUUAGGAGAAAAGUCAGUAGUAUUUUGUUUUAGUGGGAACGAGAGUGCGAGGUCUCAAUUAGAACAUGAGAUGAAGUUUCUACAUAACCGUAUAUGACAAAGAAAGAAGUCUAUGUUUCUAACUGGUGGGGCUUUUAAUUGAUGUGAGUUUGUUGAGAAAUGAAGAUGAACAUGUAUACUGACAUUGAUGUGAGUUAGUGAACCAGAUGCACAGAACCGUUCAGACCGGUUUCAGUCUCUGUUUUCAUCUUGAUAGAACGGCUCAGAACCAAAUCAAACUGUGAAUAUAAAUAAUUUAUGAAAAACAAAAAAUUAAUAAAAAUAACACAAUUGGCAACCUGAUUCCCACUGCAGCUCUAAAAUCAUCCUCCAUGAUCGCUGUAUGUACUUUUGUAAAUCGAAUGCAUAGUUGUUUGUGGACAGAUGAGUCUGCAAAAUUUGUGAAAACAUGCUUCAGAUAUAAACUACUGAAAUGUGAUUCAUGACAACCCCACACACACACACACACACACACAUAUAUAUAUAUAUAUAUAUGUUAACAUCAAAUUUUAUAAUUAUAAUAACUGUUUGGGUUAAAACUUAAAAUUUGGGCUCAAGUGGAAGUCAGCCCAAAGGGAAGUCUGGAAGGAAGAAAACCCAAGGUCCAGCCGAAGCCCAGAAGAUGGAAGAAGCCCUUUUUCAGCUAGGUGCAGACCACUUGAGCCACUUGCUCACCUACUCAAAGAACAAGUGGUGUAGAUCAACUAGCUAAUCAGCCCAAAAGUACUUUACAAUGGCAGUACAAGUAAAAAGCUGGUGAGUCACUACCCUUCAGUCACAUUCGAGCAAGAGCAAAGCUACAGUCAAUCGAGCCAAAUUGUCUAUAAAAUAAGAAAGAGAAAUUAGAAAUGAAGACACUCAAUCAAUCAAACAAACAAUCUUACAACUUGUUUAUCUCAGUCAAGCCAAGAAACCCACAAAGUUGUGCUUUGUCCAGAGUCUACACUCUUUUCAGCUUUAAGCUCCCUGUAGAACAGACAACCUUUGUCUUUAUAAAAGCUCUGCUACCUUGUCUAAAUCUUGAUGUAGUAUCGAUUCCCUCCUAUAAACUUCUCUACCAAUCUUCCCCUUCCAGCACCCAAACACUUUGUAACCACAAAGAGAGGAAGCUGCAAGACGAUCAACCUUGCCCGACCCUCUUUGUUCUGUCUGUUAAUUCAUAGAUCUAGCAGUAUGAUGUAUAAUUCAAUAUAUAUCCAAGUUAUUUAUAGUCAGUUUGUGAUUAAAAGAUCUCUUGGUUCUCGAAUCUGGUCUGAUUAAUGGUUUUAACCAUUACAAAAGAUAAGUAAAGGUUUGAGCUCAUAGCUUGAUCAAAUCUAAGUUCCAACCUUUCAAGCAUAUAAGAUUGAUCAACCAAAAGUCCUUGGUCUCAAGGCAUAAAAAAGAACUUAAUGUGGACUUAACCCAUCCACGACAAUCUUUGAUAACGAGAAGUCCGAGUUACUUGGGGCACAAGUAAUCGACCCAUUUCUUAGUUUUACAUCUGUUAUACUAUGAUCGCUAUAGAAUGCUUGAGUAUGGAAUUAAUUCUGAUGGUGAGCCUCAAGGCCUACACCUAAGGCCCCAUAAAGGCACCUAUCAGGGUUCGUUCUGCUCUUUGGGCCCGGGUGAUUAAAGUAAAAAUAGUUGUAAUACUUCCACAACAAUGAAACACCAGCUACAUGCCAGAGUACUUGGUCGGUUUUGAUUGUAAGCCUCAAGGCCUACAUCUAAGGCCUCACAAAGGCACCUCUCAGAACUGACUUGGUCCCUCGAGCAUAAGCAAUUAACCUAAACACUUGUUUUACAUUUGUCAUGCUAAAGAUGGCAGUGGCACGCCUGAGUACUUAGUUAGUUUUGAUUGUGAGCCUCAAGGCCUACACCUAAGGCCCCACAAAGGCACCUUUCAGAAUUAACUCUGUCAUUCUCUUACAGCCCGCCAAUAACCAAAAGGCCGACAUACAAUAUCAACCGGCACCAACCUCUCGAAGAGUUGUGUGCUCGUCGGCCAGAGAGCAUCUCCAGCAGAAAUUCCUGCCCGAACAUAGUUUUGGCACUUCUGGUAGGAUCAUCUUUGAUCAAUCUUACUUGCCAAGACAUGGCAAAUAUCCCUACAAAUUUACAAAGGUCAACUGUCCCAAAAAGAACAACUAAUGAAGAUUUGCAGACUACUUUGUUGCAAAUGUUACAAAGAAUGGAGAACGCCUCCAGAGGGUUCAGAGAAGAAGCAGGCCAGCUCCAUGCUUUGACAGAAGAUUCACAAGAAAAGCCCGAUCUUGUGGGUGCUAUUCCAAACAGUUGCACCAAGGUGUUGAAGAGAAAAGCAAACCUAGCUAUGGAACCAACUAUUCUCAUAUCUUUGCCUCUACUUGAGGAGAAAGGUGGUAGGGAAGAAAAGAGAGAUAAGAUCGAGGCCAGCCAGCCGGAGGUGGAGGUAACAUUGGUAAACAAUCCACCUAGCCCAUCGCUAUUCAUACAAGAUAGUCGGGGGCAGGUCAAAGCAAAAGUGGACAAGCAUGUAGAUCCCCUUUCUGAGGUCCCAGUAAUUAUGAUAAAUUUAACAUGGGCCGAGAAGGGAAAAGGGAAGGCUACAGAAGAAAGAAUGCUGGCCGACAGAUCUACAGAAGGGGUUAUCAAAUUGCCCAAAAAACCAAAAGCGGCCAUAAUCAAAGGGAUGGUCAUGUGUGGUAGAUGUCAAUGCAAGUGUGAACUCAAGAUACCACCAACAGGAGUUAUCAUAGAUCAUAAGUUGAUCAGAAGGAAAGAAAAAGAAAGGCAAGAAGCCCGCGAGAAAGUUAUGCGGGCAGCAGAAAGAGAUACUUCCCAGUGUGUUUUCCAAAGGUUGGAAGGAGAUUCCCAACCUAGGGGUUUAUCGGAGGUGUUUCAAAAUCAUGAAGCCUCUGAGGAAGCAGAAGACAAGGAGGCAAAAAUGCCAAAAUGGAAGGAUAUAAGGCCUCCUCAAUAUGGCCACAUGGGAGGAGAGAUCAGAAGAAAUAAUAGGAUAACAAAUCCUGCCAAAAAAGAAAAUCCUGCCCGCCUCGGCCGAAAGUGGUAUGUGGUUGAGAAAAAUGGACAGCCCGUCAAGAAAAUGGGAGCCUCCAUGGUUAGAAGGGUCUGGAGACAACACAAGGCUUACAUGAAUUCUUUACAGACUCCCGCAACGUCUGAAGACUCUAAGAAUGAAAAGUUUGAAAAAACAUCAUCCAGGGGAAAAAGUCAGUUCCAUUGGAGGAGUAAAAAAGAAGUGGAGAUGGCCAAUAGCAAGACGGAAGGCGAAGGAAACCACGUACCACAAAGCCCACACCCUGGGAAGUACAUAAUCUUGAGGAGAGCUCAAGAAGAUAUGAUGAUGAUGCCAACACCCAGAUGGAGGACAUAACUUAUUUGUUUUGGAACUGUCUCUCCCGAAAUGAGAGUCCCCUCACCAUUGUUGGUGGAUCCUUUUGGCGAAGUUCUGAGGCAAAUACUAGACUUUGGCAUAGAUCAGCAUGAGGGGCACCAGAACUAAUGCUCCUAUGAGAUGCACUGGCCUGGUUGGAUGAAUUCAUGGACCGCAUUAGGAGCAAGAAAGAAGACUUACCGGAACCCAGCAAUUUUCAUAUAAACAUGACAUAUGUUUUAUCAGCCAUGUUUGGUGCCGAGCCUAAUCAGCCCGCCAUGAUGGAGGGUGAUUAUUUGGCAGCAGAGCCAAUGAUGGCCCAUGUCAGUGUGGAAGUUGCUGAAGAAGGAGAGUCAGGAAAAGCUGAGUUGUUCGAGGCAUCCAAAAAUAAACCAAUGAGGAUCUAUACGGACAGAAUGGUGUUCAGCCGCCUAAACUUGAUGUUAGCCAAUCAUCUUAAGCCUAUAUACGUCACGGCUCAUUUGGAAUGAGUGUCUUUCAAAAGGGUUUUGAUUGAUGGUGGGGCAGCUGUCAACUUAUUGCCAGCCAAACAGAUGAAGAAGUUGGGAAGAAGGGUAGAAGAUCUCAUUCCCAUGGACCUAACAAUUUCAAGCUUCUCGAAAGCCAUCACCAUAACCCAUGAGAUAUUGCCCUUAGAAAUAGACUUGGGGUCUAAACAAAUUAUGCUGGCAUUCUUUGUGGUGGAUUGCACUUCCACCUAUGGAGCAUUACUUGGAAGAGAUUGGAUCCACCAAAGUCUCGCCAUACUUUCCACCCUACAUCAACAAAUUGUUGUUAACCACGAAGAAGGGACGGGAGAACCAGGUUUUUGGGAGAUGGUGGAGGCCGAAUCACAGACAUUUCUUCCUAUAGCCAAUGUUGCGGAGGCUAGUUUCUACAAUCCCAACGUAGGAAUUCUACAAUGUUCAGGAGUAGAUGAGAACGGUCGCCCUACUAAGGUGACGGCCCAAAAGCUCUUAGAACAGGGAAUGCUCUUCACAAGGGAGGAAUGAGAUAAACCAUGCAUCAUCCCAACACGCCAACACCAUUAAUGACAGAGCAAAAAAGGAAGGAUCAAGUAAUGGCAGUCAGGUCUUUGAUCAAAAGAUUGUUGGUGUAUAGGAGAGGAAGAAAACAAGAAAAGUAGGAAUGGCAGCUAGAAUUUCUAAACAGCCAGAGUAAAAACAAGGAAGAGCUUUGCGGAGAAUAAUUGGAUGCGGCCAUACAAAUGGCCGAAUACAUAUAUGACCUGGAUGGGCCAGACAACUUGCCCGAAAGCCCGGAGUUAGUCAAAUUUUUGUGUGCAGAGCCAGACAAGCCACCACCAGAGGUUCAGGAUCCUUUGGAAGUCAUUGAUCUGGGGACGGAAGAAAAUCCAAGACCCAUACAAAUCAGUGGCUUGUUGGAGACUGGCGAUCGGACAGAGAUCAUUAGCCUUCUGCAAGAAUUUAAAGAUUGUUUUACUUGGCAUUAUACAGAAAUGCCAGGUUUAGAUUCAACCUUGGUGGAACACAGAAUGCCCAUCAAGGAGGGAUAUAAACCUGUCAAGCAAGCGUCACGAAGGAUGUCAAAAGAAAUAGAAGAAAAUGUCAAAGAAGAAAUUGAAAGGCUAGUAAAAACUGGAUUUAUUAGGCCUGCCAAAUAUGUGGAGUGGUUGGCCAACAUUGUACUUGUUUUAAAAGCCGUAACAAAAGUAGUACGAUGUUGUGUUGAUUACAGAAAUAUCUCAUGGCGCUACACCAAAAGAUGAAUAUCUCAUGCCCAUGGCUGGCCUAUCCAUAGAUGCAGUGGCAAAGCACAAAGUCAUAUCUUUUAUGGAUGGGAAUGUCGGGUAUAAUCAGAUAAAAAUGGCUCAGGAUGAUAUACACAAAACAGCUUUUAGGUGCCCCGGGCACGUGGGGGCAUAUGAAUACCUAAUCAUGCCAUUCGGGCUCAAAAAUGCUAGUGCAACCUACCAAAGAGCCAUGAAUGCCAUCUUUCAUGAUUUAAUUGGCCGAAGCAUGGAGGUAUACAUUGAUGAUAUCGUGGUGAAAUCCAAGACAGAAGAACAGCAUUUGACAGACCUCAGGCAAGCCUUGACAAGAGUGAGGAUCCAUAGACUAAAGAUGAAUCCAAAGAAGUGCGCGUUUGGAGUGAGAGCGGGCAACUUUUUAGGAUUCCUUGUUCAUCAAAGAGGUGUAGAGGUGGACAAAAACAAGUCUCGAGCAAUAAUGGAGUCACCUUUGCCCACCAACAAAGUACAACUUCAGAUGCUGCUAGGCAAAAUCAAUUUCUUGAGAAGAUUCAUUGCCAAUUUAGCGGGCAAAAUCCAGCCGCUAACUUCUCUUCUGAGAUUGAAGGAUAAAGAAGAAUUUGAAUGAGGACCACCACAUCAAAAGGCUUUUGACAGCAUAAAAGACUAUUUAACUUCUCCACCAGUGUUCGUACCACCUCAAAGGGGAAAACCCUUAAAGCUAUACAUCUCUGCUUAAGAAAAAUCAAUUGGAAGUUUACUGGCCCAUGACAACAAAGGCGGGAAGGAGCAAGCGGUGUACUACCUUAGUAGAAUUCUGACUGAGGUAGAAACAAGAUACACCCCAGUAGAGAGAUUGUGUUUAGCUCUAUAUUUCACUACCGGCAAGUUGAGGCAUUACAUGUUACCUUGUCACGUCCACAUCAUAGCCAAAACAGACGUGAUUAAGUACAUGUUGUCAAAACCAAUGCUAAUAGGAAGGAUUGGGAAGUGGAUUCUAGCAUUAUCAGAAUUCAGCUUUCAAUAUGUACCCCAAAGAGCAGUCAAAGGCCAAGCAAUUGCCGACUUCUUAACAGAGCAUAAAGAGUCUCAGAAUGAGAUUAUUAGCAUCUCAAGAACCUUAGAGGUAACCAGUGUUUGGAUCCCAUUAAGCAAAGGCAUCUCGGGGCAAGGAGGAAUGGGUCUAACAGGAGAUAAAAAAAGUAAUAGGUUUUUGGGUCACUUCUUGAAAGCUGUAUUUUGAUGGUUUUUACACUCAGAAGGCUUCUGGAGCUGGGAUUGUCAUCAUAAAUCCUUAAGGGGUUCACCAUUAUUAUUCGUUCCUCCUAGAUUAUCAAAUGAGCACCAACAAUCGCGCAGAAUAUGAGGCCUUAAUAAUUGGCCUAGAAAAUACAAGUGCAAGCAAUCACCAUGGCUGGAUAUUACUUAGCAGCCACUCAAUUGUUAAGUUAUUGGGAUACUGAGAUAUCGAUUAAUCAUGUCCCCAGGGAAUCCAAUCUGGUGGCCAACGAGGUGGCGCAAAUGGCCUCCGGGGUACCAAUCCAAGAAAGAAAGUAUGAAGUAGAUAUUGAGAUUCAAAGGAGAAAUCUCCCUUCUAUUUUAGAAAGGGGAUUCAGUCUGGAUAUGAUGGUUGUAGAGCCCGAGAUAGAAGAUUGGAGAUCACCUAUCAUUCAACAUUUAAAGGAUCCUUCUUCACCCACAAGCAAAAAGAAUAGACAGCAAGCAACCAAGUAUGUCUUAUGGGCGAAAAACCUGUUAAGAAAAACUCCAGAUGGGCUACUAUUGAAGUGCCUUGGCCAAGAAGAAUCUAUGAGAGUAAUGGCCGAAGUACAUGAAGGGAUAUGUGGGGCACAUCAAGCUGGAACAAAGAUGAGAUGGUUUCUUAUGAGGUAUGGGUAUUUCUCGCCCGACAUGGAAAAAUAUUGCAAGUCCUAUGCCCGAGGCUGUGAAGAAUGUCAAAGGCACGGACAUCUCCAACAUGUGCCUUCAGUACCUUUAAAUCCAGUGGUCAAGCCUUGGCCCUUCAGAGGAUGGGCAAUGGACUUCAUCGGGUAGAUUUAUCCAGCUUCUAGCAAGGGGCAUACUUUCAUAAUAGUGGCAACGGAUUAUUUCACCAAAUGGGUAGAAGCCUUGGCCGUGAAGUCCAUAACCUCAUCUGUGGUUAAGAAAUUUAUUGAGACCAAGAUUCUGCACAGAUAUGGGGUGCCCGAAACCAUAGUCACGGAUCGUGGGCCAUCUUUUAUUUCAAAGGAGAUUGAAGAAUUUGCAAGUAAAUACAAGAUAAAGAUGAUUCAGUCUAAUCCUUACUACCCUCAGUCAAAUGGUCAGGCCGAAGCUAGCAAUAAGAUUUUGAUAAACAUUAUCAAAAGAAUGGUGACAGAUAGUCCGGAGAAGUGGCAUGAGAAGCUAGGGGAUACUUUGUGGGCAUAUCGAACCUUCAAAAGGGCAGGAACUGGGACGAUUCCUUAUGCUCUGACUUUCGGGCAAGAUGCAAUGCUUCCCAUGGAAAUCAAUGUGAGUUCUGUCAGAAUUCAGAAUCAAUUCGGGUUACACAGUGAAGAAUACAUCGAAGCUAUGUGUCAAGGGAUUGAAGACUUAGAUGUAGCCCGAAUUGAGGCCUAAACCAGAUUCAAGAAGGAAAAAGAGCGGUUGCCCAAGCUUACAAUAAAAAGGUGAAGUUAAAGUCUUUCAGAGAAAAAGACUUAGUAUGGAAGGGAAUCCUCCCUUUAAGAGCUCAGCUUAGGGGCUUUGGGAAAUGGAGCCCGACUUGGGAAGGUUCUUUUAUUGUUAGUCAAGUAUUAGACAAAGGCGGAUAUUACUUGGCGGACAUAGAAGGGAAUUGGCAGAAACAUCCCAUUAAUGUUAAAUUCUUAAAGAAAUAUUAUCCUACAUUAUGGGAUGUCAGGGAUUGUUAUAUAGAAGAAGAAAGAGGAUAACGCAGGGUUCGAGAUGAAGAAGGGCAAUGUUUGUUCAUCAACCAUUCGAAAAAGGCAUAAAGAUAAAAGCAGUUAAAAAGGUAUAUUUUAUUCAUUUCGACAAAUUGGUGAAGUUUACAUUCAGCUCAAAGGCUUUACUUUCUUAAAAAGCUAGAAUAGAUCCUAGAAAAGAAGUUUCUACAUUUCUCCUGACGCGCUUUAUCCAACUCCUUCCAGUUGUGAUGCCGACUCGUGCAGUCUUCCGGUGUCUUCAUUUGCAAAACCCGAUCAGGUGAUCGGGUUGUGCGACCAUAAUAGGCCUGGUAGAGGACCCUCAAAGAAAACUUUCACAAGAUGUGACGGUGAAGUCUGACUUAUGAGGGCAACUACCAAGCUGGCAUUUACUCGACUAAGCCUAUAUAUUCAACAAGCUUAGAACGAGUAGAACGUCUGACCAAAGGUGUUGGGGAUAACGGGACGUUUGACCAAAGGUGUUGGAGAUAUUAGCUAUUUGGUGAGGAUCUUUCUUACGGAAUGAGAGUUUCAAGACUUUCCACAUGAAUCCUGAUGAGCGUUUUUCCCCAGUUUCAGAAAAAGAUUUAGAAGGCAGGGACGCCCGAAGGUGAUGAAGACUCUCCAAGAGGGGAAAGUAUUGAAGAUGGCUUGUCUGCUAAACAUGGGGAGUGAUUGGUUUGAGUUGCUUGCUCAGAAAAUGAAAAUUUGAGCCGGAAUUUAUAAGAGCAUCAGAUGAUAACCAAAAGUCCAUGGGAAGAGCAAGAGACGCAAGAUUGCAUUAAUUCCGUCCAAAGCUACAAGUUCCGAGAAUAGGCGUGCACACACAAACGACUGUUUAAUCAAUAUUGGCGCUUGGAAUUCCAGCCUAAAUAAUGAUUAUAGGGGGCACUGUUUGGAUUAAAACUUAAACUUUGGGCUCAAGUGGAAGUCAGCCAAAGGGAAGUCUGGAAGGAAGAAAACCUAAGGUCCAACCGAAGCCCAGAAGAUGGAAAAAGCCUUUUUUCGGCUAAGCGCAGACCACUUAAGCCACUUGCUCACCUACUCAAAGAACAAGUGGUGUAGAUCAGCCAGCUAAUCAUCCCAAAAGUACUUUACAAUGGCAGUACAAGUAAAAAGUUGGUGAGUCACUACCCUUCAGUCACAUUCGGGCAAGAGCAAAGCUACAGUCAACCGAGCCAAGUUGUCUAUAAAAGAAGAAAGAGAAAUCAAAGAUGAAGACACUUAAUCAAUCAAACAAACAAUCUUACAACUUGUCUAUCGCAGUCAAGCCAAGAAACCCACAAAGCUAUGCUUUGUCCAGAGUCUACACUCUUUUCAGCUUUAAGCUCCUUGUAGAACAGACAACCUUUGUCUUUGUAAAAGCUCUGCUACCUUGUCUAAAUCUUGUUGUAGUAUCGAUUCCCUCCUAUAAACUUCUCUACCAAUCUUCCCCUUUCAGCACCCAAACACUUUGUAACUACAAAGAAAGGAAGCUGCAAGACGAUCAACCUUGCCCGACCCUCUUUGUUCUGUCUGUUAAUUCAUAGAUCUAGCAGUAUGAUGUAUACUUCAAUAUAUAUCCAAGUUAUUUCUAGUCAGUUUGUGAUUAAAAGAUCUAUUGGUUCUCGAAUCUAGUCUGAUUAAUGGUUUUAACCAUUACAAAAGAUAAGUAAAGGUUCGAGCUCAAAUUUACGAAUCUAGUCAGUUGAGGAAGAAGUGGCUUAGACCUAUUAUGAUGGUUCAGAUAUUUCUCAAAUUUACGAAUUGAAGGUUAAAUCUUUCAGACUUCGUCAAGAGGGCCGGCCAGCUGGUGCUCCUCAUCCUAAUAAUCCUUCUAAUCAAUCUUUAAAUUCUCGUCCUUUUAAUCGAGAAAAUAAAGAUGAUUUGAAGUGGACUUUCUAUGGACAAACCCGUCAUACUGAGGAUACGUGCUUUGCUAAGCAUAGGGUGCCUGAUUGGUUUCCGAAGUUGAAGAAAAAUUGCGUGCAAAGGAGCUUGGAAGUGCAAGCAAUAAUGGAGGUCGUGUCUUCCUAGCUACUGCUCCACCGAAGGCUAAGGAGGCCGAGCCUACUUCUUAUGACCCGAGUCAAACCUUGUUGACUCGUUCUACCCAUGGCGACUCAUCCUUCACCACAGGUACUAUAGGGCAUGGUCUUUUGGCCUCCGAUACUGAGCAUCAUACAGGUUAGAUUCUGGACUCUGGUGCAAUAGAUCAUAUGACAUAUGAUAAGAAUAUGUUUUCAAUGUAUGACAACAUCUCACAUGGAAUAUAUUGCCACCACCAAUGGUACCCGUGCCCCUGUUGUUGGUGAUGGCACUGUGUAUCUUACAGCCUCUCUCCCUUUACACCGAUGUUUACUUGUUCCAUCUUUAUCACAUCAUUUACUUUCCAUACCACAGGUUACUGAACAAUUGGAUUGUGUUGUUCUAAUGUAUCCGUCAUUUUAUCUACUUUAGGAUAUUCAAACCAAUGAGACAAUUGGGCGUGGCACUAAGAGAGAGCAGUUGUACUAUGUGGAUGAUGUUGUUCCUAGCAGAGCUCAUGCAAUACGAGUGUUCUGUGAUAGUAAUCUACAAGAAGUAUGGUUAUUGCAUCGUCGAUUAGGGCAUGCAUCCUUUAGAUAUUUAAGGCAUAUGUUGCCUAGUUUAUUUAGUGGAAUAAAUGAAUCAAACUUACAUUGUGAAGUUUGUAUUCUUGCUAAAAGCUACCGUGCUUCAUUUCCUCCUAGUAUGAAUAAAAUACCUUUUCCGUUUGAUCUUGUGCAUUCCGAUGUUUGAGGGCCUUCUCCAGUUACUACUUCUUCAGGAAUUCGGCGGUUUGUUACAUUUGUUGAUGAUUGCACUUGUAUGACAUAGCUUUAUGUGUUGAAAAAUAAAAGUGAUGUUAGUGCCAUAUUUCGAUCUUUUGCUCAGAUAAUUCAGACAUAAUAUUCUUCUGUUAUCAAGGUUCUCCGUUCUGAUAAUGGAGGAGAGUACAUCAAUUUUGAGUUGUCGGAGUUUCUACGUGAUCAAGGGAUUCUCCAUGAAACCACGUGUCCGUAUACUCCACAACAAAAUGGGGUUGCAAAGUGUAAAAAUCACCACAUUUUGGAAACAGCUCGUGCCUUGCUCCUUGGCGCCUCGGUUCCGCAGCGUUUUUGGCCUGAAACGGUUACCUAUGCCGUGUAUGUUAUUAAUCGUAUACCCUCUCGGGUGGUUAGUUUUCAAACACAUCUUCAAGUCCUCACACAACAUGCUCCAGUGGUGUCCAGUAAUACUCUCACCCCUCGAGUCUUUGGUUGUUUGGCUUAUGUUCAUAUUCAGAAAAUACAUCGUAAUAAAUUGAAUCCGUGUGCACUACGAUGUGUCUUUCUGGGUUUCUCUUCUCGCCAAAAGGGGUAUAAGUGUUACCAUCAUGAAACCCGGCAUAUGUAUAUAACCAUGAAUGUGACCUUCUCUCAAACGGGAUAUUUCUACACUUCUGUAUCCUCCACUUCAGAUCACCAGGGGGAGAACACUGUUGGUAAUCUGAAAUUGUUGGAUCUAUGGGAGAUGUGAUUAUUAAACAGCGUGUAGGACCUGGAAUUGUUGGUGCCGAAUGUACAGUGGGUACCGAGUGUAUUGAUAGCUCGGAUGAUGUUUGUGAUUUAAAGUUGAAUCUGACCGAACCCAUAAGAGAGUCUCAGCCAGCUAGUGUCAAGGAAUGUCCAGUUGUUCAGCAAUCCCUUGCUGAGCCCACUACACAUGCCCUUGUCGAGCCCAGUACAUCCUCUCUCUCUAGUUCUGAUGUGCCACCCAAUACAUCUUCUCUGAAUAUGCCAGAGGUAAGUAUCGUAAAUGAUUGUGUAACUAAUCUAAGUAAUAAUGUGAGUACUUAUAAAGUGCCACCAAGACAAAAUCGAGGUGUGCCUCUUGAUAGGUUUUCUCCUGAAGGGAAGGUGAAGUAUCUGAUAGCCAAUUAUGUAUCAUGUAACAAGCUUGCACCAGAACGACAUACAUUGGUGAGUACUAUGGAGUCUAUUCCAGUACCUACUCGAGUGGAGGAAGCUCUAAAAGAUCCAACGUGGGCAAAAGCAAUGGAUGAGGAGAUGUUGGCAUUACAGAAAAAUAAUACUUGGGAGGUGAUGAUGCUACCUACAGGAAAGAAAACAGUAGGAUGCUGAUAGGUAUUUACGGUUAAAUAUAAGGUUGAUGGAACUGUAGACAGAUACAAAGCAAGGUUGGUGGCUAAAGGGUAUACUCAAACAUAUGAGGUGGAUUAUCAAGAGACUUUCUCCCAGGUUUCCAAGAUGAAUAUGGUACGUGUUCUUAUCUCUUUAGCUGUAAAUAUGGAUUGUCCAUUAAAACCGUUCGAUGUGAAGAAUGCGUUUCUCCAUGAGAAUUUGAAGGAAGAAGUAUAUAUGGAUUUUCCUCCUGGAUAUAGCAAUGGUGGGAAUACCGGAGUAUGUCGGUUGCGUAAGUCACUUUAUGCGCUUAAACAAUCGCCUCGUGCAUGGUUUGAUAAAAUUACUCAAGUGAUGAAAAUGAAUGGAUAUCGUCAGAGUCAUUUUGAUCAUACUUUAUUUGUAAAGCGUAAACAAAAUAAAGUAACAACCUUGAUUAUUUAUGUAGAUGACAUGAUUAUAACAGGAGAUGACGUUGAUGAGAUGUCCAAGUUGCAAGGAAACCUUGCGGUUAAAUUCAAAAUGAAGGAUUUAGGAGAUCUGAAGUAUUUUUUGGGAGUUGAAGUUGCUCGCUCAUCUAAAGGUAUCUUCUUGUCUCAAUGUAAGUAUGUACUGGAUAUAUUAAAAGAGACGGGUAUGUUGGAAUGUAAGCCGGUAGAGACUCCUAUUGUUGAGAAACAUCAUUUGUGUUUGAAUCUAAGUCAGAAACCGGUUGACAAAGGUAGAUAUCAGAAGCUUGUAGAGAGACUGAUUUAUUUGGCUCAUACUCGUCCUGAUAUUGCCUAUGUUGUGAGUGUUGUGAGUCAGUUCAUGCAUUCACCAAAUGUGGAUCAUAUGGCUGCUGUUAUGCAUAUCUUGGCAUACUUGAAGUCGGCACCUGGAAAAGAAGUAUUGUAUGGGAAACACGGGCAUUUGAGAAUUGAAGGGUUUACUGAUGCAGAUUGGGCAGGUGAUGUAACUGAUAGACGGUCUACUUCUGGGUAUUUUACCUUUGUUAGAGGGAAUUUGGUGACAUAGCGAAGUAAGAAAUAGAAGGUGGUGUCACGGUCUUCAGCUGAGGCCGAAUAUAGAGGAAUGGCUCAAGGAAUUUGUGAAAUCCUUUGGCUACGAAAACUUCUUUUAGGACUUGGGGGUUUAAACCGAAGGAGAUCAUGAAGUUGUAUUUUGACAACAAGUCAGCAAGAGAUAUAGCUGAUAAUCCAGUGCAGCAUGAUAUAACGAAGCAUGUAGAGGUGGAUCUGCAUUUUAUUAAGAAGAAGCUUGAAAAGAAGAUUGUAUCAAUACCGUUUGUGAAUUCAGAGGAGCAACUUGUAGAUGUUCUUACUCAUGCAGUAUGUGGUCGAAAGUUUGGUGACUCACCUGUCAAGUUAGGCAUGCCACUACUAGAAAUUUGGCUAUAAGCCACCCUUUCAUUUGGUGGCUAUUGUCAAGUGUUGCCACUCACAUUGGUGGCAAACCUCUAUGGCCACCAAGCACCCACUAAACUAGAGAGUGUGGCCUAUGUAGAGGACUCUAUUGUAACAAUGGCUAACAAUAUUGCAUUGGUGGGUAUGUGAAUAGUACAACAUUUUUAUAUUUUAUAAUUAUUUGUAAAAUUCAAAAUAUGUCAUUGUCUCUCUUAUUAGUGGCUAGAUUUGAGACUAACAUUGGUGGUUUUCAGACUCAUACACCCACCAAUCCUAUGUGUCUCUAUUAGGAUCAGUGGCUUUUAAAGUAUGGGCACCAACAAUGGUGUGAAUCUAUAGCAUUCCAAAUGGCCUUUAUGUUCGAAUUGUAUUACAUGGCUGUUAAAUCAUAGCUCUGUACUAUAUUAAAACUCAUCUUCUUAAUAUAAACUUCACAUUGAUUUUAAAUUUGCAAAAGGAUUCACCUUGAUAACCAACCACACUUUAUAUCCCAUACGGAAUCAAUAACAAGGUUUGUCCCUUUUAAAGGAAGCAUAUUACAUUCAUGUUUGUUAUCCAACACAUCCAACUACCCAAGGGUGAUGAGAUUACAUUUUAUAAAACCAACAGUACAUAUGCACAUCCACCAAUAGCAACUGAACUAACAAAAUCCACCCAAUUGGAUCUAUGUCUUCCCUAUGACAUUUGUACUAUAUACAUCAAGCAAAAUUCACAGGAAUGAUCACAGUUAGCUUAUCACGUACUGAACCUAGUGACAUUCACCAUGCAUGGACGAUAGACAAUUAGCUUAUCACUUACUGAACCCAGUGACAUUCACCAUGCAUGGACGAUAGACCAUCUCAUCAUCUGUGCCAUUAUUCUGCAGCACAACAAUGCCAUCAUCUUCAACUUCUCCACUUGCCUAAAUCUCCAAACUAGUCCCUUGUUCAAUUCUAGUCACACAAGCUUGAGUCACAUCAACUCGAUUUGGUUCCACAAUGCCUCCAUCAGCAGCCCUCAUCAGCAUGGACAUAAUUGCAGCCCUCAGUUCACGUUUCAUGUUUCCACAACAAGGUGCCUAAAGAUGAAGUAGUCAAGUAAAAUAUGUAACGUAAACAAAUUAAGUAAAUAUAGUAUGUGAAUAAAGAGGACAAAAUUUACAUACGCAACUGCAAGGGAGUAUAUUAUUUUAGAAUUCAAUUUUUGUAAGAGGAAAAAAAACUCCAAUCGCUUUUAUGAGUGACAUUGUAUAUAUGAGUCUUGCACAGGAUUUUAGGGUGCAGGUGUCACGCCCCGAUCCCAACUCCAGGAUCGACACGUGAUGUUACCAAACACUCGUAUCUCAACAUACCCCGUUUCCAGAAUAUGGCAAAUCACAACUCAAGAAUCAAAUCGCAUAGUCAUUUUUCCGUAUACUUUAUGGCUGCAUCUAACAUCCUCGUUAGACUGCCUACGUACCCUUAUUAGGGAUCAAGCCAUUUGUAGUUCGUCCAUUCGCUACACUCGAACAUUCAUCACAUAAACCACUAUAUCUCAAAAUAAUACCACAAUUCAAUUAUAUAGCACCUCAAGGAGCAUUUAACAAGGCACAAUAUUAGUAUCUAUUCAUAUCAUCACUCAUCCACACAUAUGUAUUCCAACACCAUCCAAUUAUCACAUCAAUCAAUAAUACCAAUCACCAUAUUAUCAAUAACACAUACAAUUCAUCGAAAUACUCAACGAAAUCCAUCAACAUCGGGUUUCAGAACUCUCAACGGAACCAAGACACCAAAGGGGAUUCCGGACCAUCACUCAACGAAAUCCAAACUAGGAUACGAUUCCGGACCAUCACUCAACGGAAUCGCGGAGUAGAAGGGAUUCCAGACCAUUACUCAACGAAAUCCAAACCAAGAUACGAUUCCGAACCAUCACUCAACGAAAUCGCGGAGUAGAAGGGAUUUUGGACCAUCACUCAACGGAAUCACAUGAUAGAAGGGAUUCCGGACCAUCAUUCAACGGAAUCAUAAGAUAGAAAGGAUUCUGACCAUCACUCAAUGGAAUCAUAGGAUAGAAGGGAUUCCAGACCAUCACUCAAUGGAAUCAUAGGAUAGAAGGGAUUCCGGACCAUCACUCAACGGAAUCCAAGCAAAGCAUAUGGUACCUACCAAAUGUACCAGGUAUAUCUAAACCUUAUCAUCUCCAUAAUUACAACGUAGUCACUUACCACAUUCACUUCUCGCGGCCACCAACUAAUAUGUCACACAAGCAUAUAAGUUCUAUAGAAUACUUCUAAUAGGAAUAUACGAUCACAUUGUCACCACAUUUAUCGGACUUACCCUUCACAUUACUAAAAGAUAAUUAAACGCACAUAUAUCACAAUCAUCACUCUUACCCUUCAUAGACUUUCUUUGUGUCAUGUUUGGUGAUACACAAACUCUCACAAAUGGUGUUCCUGACAACCGACCUUGCUACUAACAAACUGCAAUAACAGAAAUUACAUCAUAUGAAAGUAGUUAAAUAAUUUUAUUUAAUCGUAGGUCAUAAAGCUCAAAACUUUCUAUCAAAAUAAUUCAAAACCUCAAAUAGAGAACAAAACAUCUACAUUGACAAUAACAACCCCGAACAAUGAACGAAACAUUGAAAUGAAAUCAAAUCAUGUGAUACCUUUUCAAGUGAUGCCCCUAUGAGGAGAUCAAAUUAUGUACCCUAGAAUGGACUGAAAACUGCUCAAUGAGAAUAAAACCAAGCAAAAAAUAUAAGCAAAAACUGGGUUCCAAAGUACGCCCCAAAAUUGUACUGCUUAGACUACUGUCUCAAUUGAGCGCAGCAAAAUGGAGACCCCAACAUUCAAUGAUAAAGAGAAUGUUUUCGUGCCAAUAAAUGCCUCCUUGAAGUUAGAGAGGGAUAUGAAGGACUACUCUACCACUCUUUGAUUAUUAUUUGUAGCUGUUAGAUAGCAAUGCAAAAGCUCUCAUGAGGGGAAAUCGCAGAGGCUGGUCCUAAUUUACGAGACAACAUAGAUGCAUGUACGUAAACAGCAGGGAGUUGUCCUACAGAGGCCAUGUCGCUUCCUCGUCUACUAAUAAUUACAUUGUUUUGAAGUUGUAGACCACAUAACGAAGCAUGGAAUGUAGCUUAACUAUUAGCAUUCAUGCAGGGGUCGUAGGUAUCAGCUUUAACUCAUACCAAAACUCAAAAACACAUAAAAUAUCAUAUGCAAGUUCUUUCAUAGCCAUGUUAAUGUAAACCAAACUUUCUCUACCAAAGUCCAUUUUUGUGUUUACGCUGUUUACAGAACACAAGCACAAAAUGUGAUAUCCUUAUAGCAUAAGCUUAACCAAGAGUGGAACUUUACAUAGAUAGUUCUACUUAUACCCAUUUUCUUUCAGUUUCUACAGGCUGUAAGGAUAGUGGUUUGUUUAAAAAAAUGUAGUUGCGAUUUGCCUAACUCGUGAUGUUGUGGAAACAGUACAGAGAUUCUUAUAUUUAUACACCAACCAAUAACUCCUAGCUUAUAUCUGCAAUAACAAUAAUAAGCAACCCUGUAUGGUUUCCAGUUUGAUCCAACGUGAACAGAUAGAAGAAGCACUUCAAACUAAACUAACAAAAAACUCCAACAUAAUCGAAGACUUAAUAAACAAAUUGAAAAGUUUGGUCUAAAAAAUGUUGAAUAUUGAAUAUGAGAAACACAAAAUUACCUGUUUUUACUCCCUAAAAUCAAUUCGAUGUGUUGCAAGCCCCAAAUUGAUUGUAAGAAACCCAAUUGAUAAUAAAUAAUGAACCGAGGAGCUUAAUCUGUUGAGAAAUUAAAAGGGCAAGGUAUGCGAAGCAAAUACCCAGCAACGUGGGAGCCGAGUUCCAUUGCCCACGCCAGUCGCCAACAAAACGAAGCCACUAACAAUCUUGUCCAUUAUGCCCUGUCCGCAUCCUGAGACUGAGACUGGUUCGCGGAACCGCCCGACUUCAUCACUGAUUCAAUAAUGACCGAGAUAUGCGAUUAGGGUCCAAGGCUCUAUCCUUCUAUGAGUUUUUGAUGCGAAAAUUAUCUUAACACACAAAUUUAACCCUCUUUUGACAAUUGUAGUAUAAGUAUAAGUAGGGAUCGUUCUAGGCCGGGGAUUAAGAGGGAUUGCUAAUUUACUCUAAACUGACUCAAAGACACAAAAACAAACUUAAAAGCGUUAGGAUAGAUUCAAAAUACUCAAAACUAGUUCACAAGACUCAACAUAAGCUAAGAAGACUCAAAACUGCCUAAAAACAACAACUAGGCAAUUUCUGACACUAAACACAAUUUUGGACGAAAAUAAAGUUUGGACUUGACUCAAAACACUUAAAACGCAAACAAAACAAGUUUAAAAGAAUUUGAAACAAGAAAGUAAUGGGGGGUUUGAUUUGGACGAACUUAGAAUAACAAAACAAAUUGUAACUUAAAAACAGGUUUGAAAAUAAAUUUAGAAAAUUAGAUGGAUGAUGGGAUAGCUAGAGGAUUUUUCUCCACACAUGACAUGUAUGCAAACAACUCGAUUUCCAGUUACUACUUCAUUGAAUUAUGAACGACAAUACUCCAAAUUAACUGUGACAUCACUAGUUAACCCUCAAAUUUUCCUUGUUUUAUUGGAUUGGAUGACAUCAUUCGACAACCCAAAACAUUCUUCAAAAGUUCCCUACAUGACAUCAUAAUAGAGAUACAAUCAAAGAUCAUUACAUUUAAUGAAAAUCAUAAGCAUUGACAAAGCACUUGCAACUAUGACAUCAUGUCACUCAUGCUAGGAAUUAAACUUAACGCGAUCGUUUAUAAGCGACCUCCACUACUUGUGAAUAUAAGUUUUUAACAAUUAUGUGAAACUUUCUUAUACUCUAGCAUCGGAUUUAUGCAUGCCAAUUAAGUGUCGACCCUUAAUCAACAAAUACAAAUAAGUUAUCAAUCAAACAGUUAAGCCAAUUGCAUUCAUGAUUCAAGAAUUCAUAACUGGAAUUUAUCAAAUCAUCUUGUACACAUAAUCAUGGCUUUGAAAUCACCCCUAGCCAAGAGGGGUUUAGCCACUCAUGUUCACAACAAAACGAAAGAAAAUGAAUUUAAACAUUGGAAACAAAAGAAAGAAAACACCUAAACGCUCCAAUGAUCCAAGUUGACAGCAAGCACGUCCAAGCACUUUCCUUUCCUUCCUUUGCUACGGCACAAGGUGUUGGUGAGUGUUUGAAGGUUGUUUGUAUGGAGGAAUGAAUGUAAAGAUGAAUGGAUGUGUUUGGAUGAAGGUUGUGUUGAAAUGGGAGUGAAUGAUCUAACAAAAUAUGCACUAAAUUUAUGUUACACACACUUCCUUUUAUAGAGGAAGUGCAAGGCAAUGGAGGGGGACAUGAAGUGUGUGUGCAAUGAUUCAAGGGUGAAAGUGAAGUAAUGAUGCAAAGCAUGGGUAAAAUAGAGUGGUGUUGAAAUGAUUCAAGGGUGAAAGUGAAGUAAUGAUGCAAAGCAUGGGUAAAAUGGAGUGGUGUUGAAAUGAUUCAAAGGUGAAAGUGAAGUAAUGAUGCAAAGUAUGAGGGGUAAAAUGGAGUGGUGUUGCAACAAUGAAUGCAAGUAGGGAACAUGAAUGAUUGUGCACAUGGUAGAGAAAGGAAAGUGAGGUGGAAUGGUGUAGAAAUGAGUCAAGGGUUAAGGUGGAGUGAUGAUUGAUGCAAGAAAUUUGGAAUGAUGGAGGGAACAAGGGUGGUGCAAGGCAAUGAGUGAAUGAAAUAGACAAGGAAUGUUGUUGGAACUUAGGGACAUUGAGGAUUAGGAAAGAUUAAAUCAAAAUAAGGUAAUCUUGACUCAUGUUUCUUCAUUGGUUGCUGAGCUCUUUGUCCUUUUUAAAUUAAUUCUUCUUUCUCUUUAACACAUUCCUAGCCUCUUUAAUCUUCAAUUUCGCCUAUCUACUUAGCUCCAAGGAUGUGUUAUAUAUUCCAAGCCCAAAACUGCUCCAAAAGGCUUCAAAAUGCACAUUUUUGCGUACGUUGUCCUUAGAACCUGAAAUUGCACGAAAAUGACUUUAAACACUAAAACAACUAAGGAAUAACAACAUAAAUGCAUGAGAACAAGCUAACUCAGUCGCAUAAAUAUGCUCCUAUCAGUUUUGGCUCUAUCUCCCUUUUGUAUUGGACGUGCAUCCGUAGGUCCUGAUAAGCAAAUAUAUAUCCCAGCUUUAAAAACAAAAAAAUUAACCAGUACGUUCCCAACAAAAUAAAUAACAAAAUACAUAAUGAAAUUAAAAAGUAGAAGGAAAGAAAUUUUAAGAAAUAAAGAUAUUUAACAACCACCAAUCAUUGGUGGCUCAAUGUUGAAGGCCACCAACAUCAGCGGCAUCCCAUGGUAAAACCACCAAAAAAUAGUAAGAGUAGCAACUUUACAUCUAUGGCCACCAAUUGCAAAGGGUGUGAAAAAAAUGGUGUCCUAUGAGCCAAAAUUCUAGUAGUGUGUGUGAUAUCUAUGCACCAACUUAAGGGGAGUGUAAACGUGAGUCAUUAAAAAUAAGUAUGUAAAUAUAUUGUAAAUAUUAGGAGUCCUUUAUUAGGAAGUUUUAAUUGUUGUGUCCUUUAUUUAUUAAGGAAAACUAAUGAAAAGAACUUGAAAACUUUGAGUUUUAACGAUAAAGACAAAAUAAAGGGUAAAAUGAAUAGUACCAGGUUUGACUUUUUAGUGUAAAAAUGUGGUUUUUCGUUAAAGUGAACAGUACCGUGGGUUUUUCGUUAAAACUCCCUAUUUAUUAUUGUUUCCAUAUAUAACAAGGAUUGUAUUUGUAUAUAUUUCAAGGAAGUAAUACAAUGAAAAUUAUUCCAUAAAAUUCUAUUAUUAAUGUUGUAUCAUAUCUCGGAGUUCGGGAUGUAACAUUAUUGUGAUUCGAUUUAGGUACAGACCUUACCAGAGUGACAAAGACAAGGCUCCUCCAGGGAGGACUAGUCGGAGGUGUGAAUGGACAUUUAUUUUAGAGAUGUUUCUUUACUUCUUUCACUACUCGAGAUUGCAGCAUAUCGGACGUAUAGCGCUGAUAGAAAGGAAAAAGAGAAUCGAUUAAGAAUUGAAAGAGCCUAUGGAAUUGUCUUCAAAGGAAUGCUCUCUUUUGAAUUCCUUAUUGUUGUCAAAGUCCUCAACUCGUAAUACUGAGAGAUUGAAUCUUUCACGCUCGGCCAAACUUUUCUUGGAAUUUGAAUUAGAUGAAACCAAGUCCUCAACUCGUAAUACUGAGAGAUUGAAUCUUUCACGCUUGGCCAAACUUUUCUUGGAAUUUGAAUUAGAUGAAACCAUAUGAACCUUGAACAGAGCAAAACAAAACUAAUACUGAGAGAUUGAAAUCAUUGAAGUGGACGUGGAUGCUGGGUACUUAACACUCAAGGAAAUCAGUCCAAGAAUGAAAACUCUCUUUUCAUUUGCUAUCCAAUUUUUUGGAAUUAUGUGUGUUGUCCAAUGGAUUAUUCUUUUUUUAUUAAAUUUCUAAGGAAAAUGAGCAUAAGGCGUAAAAGUUGAACUAAUGAAAUUUCAACGAUUUGGAAAGGGAUUAUGAGUUUGCCACGCCACGAAAAACUAUAUUAGAGAGAGAUGAGACAUUUUUUAGAAGAAAACCUCAUUUUCUAAGUGGUACACGCAACUUGAUUAGAAGAAAAGUCAUAGUAUUUUAUUUACUUCCAACUCUUUGGGGAAGAGAGUGCAAGUUUCCAAUGGAAUAUGGGAUGAAAUUUCUACAUAACUAUAUAUGACAAAGAAAGAAGUCUUAAGUUUCUAAGUGGUGAGGCUUCUAAUUGUGUGAGUUUGUUGAGAAAUGAAGAUGAACAUGAAUAUUGAUAUUGAUGUGAGUUAGUGAACAAGUUGCUUCGAUCUCCUUUGGCCCUCUAAUAAGAUAAUAUCGGAAAACAAGUUGUUACUAAUAUUUUUUUAAGUGUCACUAGUCUCGCCCUAUUGUCUUAUUUUUUUCAUCCACAUUAUAAUCUCACCCAUCAUAAAAAAUUAAAAAUAAAAAACUCUAUUUUCCCACCCACCCUUAUUCCUAAUAUAACCUUUUAUAUAUCUCUAAAUUCUUUUAGAUUUUAUCUAUUAGAAUAUAUAUAUAUAUACACACACACACACACACACCUCAACAAAAAAAUGAUAAAAAUUAGUUAACCAUCCCAAUUCCAAAACCGUAGAAGCAACAUAAUUCCAAACCCCAUCUGCACCACGAUCCUCAAUACGGCAGUCGUACCAACACCCAAGCUCCACCCCAUCCAACCUUCGCAACAACUGCAUUCCCUUCUCUGAAUGUAUGAGAACAAGAAAUACAUUUUUUUUUCAUCGUGUCUGGAGUAGCCAAGGAGGAGAAAAAGAAGUAGAAGCAAAACAAUAAAUCACACUAGAAGAGUCACUUUCAAUCCAUAAAUUUUGCCAAGCAUGCGCGUCAGCCAACUCCACAGCACGGAUGACCGCAUGAAGCUCCGCAUAUAAAGAAGUAUGAUGUCCCAAGCUCAAGGAGAAAUCCCUAAGAAAAUAACUCGCAGAAUCUCGAAAAACCCCACCACAAGCUGCAGGACCUGGGUUACCUUUAGCGAGGUUUUCCAUAUUCACUUUGACCCAGGAAAAUGAAGGGGGAUGCCAAGGAACGUGAACUAUGGAAUGAGCUUGACAAGACUCAGCCGAGAUUCGAAGAGAGAUUAAGAGUUGUUUAUCCAAAAUACCACGUACAUGAUCAUGAGUGAAAACUCCAACCUGCCUAAUCCAUGCCAAAGUGGAACGACAAAUGUGUGCAAAGGAAUGAGGCUUACUAAUACAUGUACCGGAUUGGUAGACUAAGACGUACGGUAAGAUUUUUGAUAACCAGAGAAGAUGAACACUGUCAAUGUCGUGACAAAAUUUAUCCAAAUAGAUCCAAACACUCAGGAAGUUUCAUAUGCAGAUCUAGAGCUAAUUUCCUUUUUUUAUCUUAUAGUCAUUACGUAAAAUGUAUAUGCAUAUUUCUAGAUGCAUACACACCAAUGUACAUAAUAUUAACUCCUUUCAAGUAGUCAUUUGCAAAUUUAUUUCAUGUGCCAUUUGUAAUGCUCAUGUGGUACAUUUCUAAUAUCUUAUAUAUAACUUUUUGUGAUCCGUUUCUUCAUCACUAUGCCUAAAUACCUUUAGAAUUUGGUAAUUUCCUCACCCCAAACAAACCCUAACACUCUGUUUAGAUAUGGUAAAAAAACUCGAAAUUUCAUUUAAACUCGAAAUUUCAUUUAAACUCGAAAAUUUAGGGAUGGGAAAGAAAUUUUCCCUUAUUUGGCACUUGUAGCGAGAGAAAAAGGCAAAUUCUAAGGGAAAAAAGUUGAAAUAGGGGAUGAAGAUUUUCCGAUUUUAAUUUCAUCUAAAUAGGUGUAAUUUCACAAUUCCAACUACGACGAGAAUCACAAAUUCAUAUGUAGGAAAAUCUUGCAAGCGCAAAACUUUACAAUUAGGGCACCAAAAUUUCAUGAUAAAACCUGAUAAGGGUUUAGGGCUGCAUCUUUCACUCUACUAACUCUCCAAUCUUCAAAGAGAUUUUCGGCUCAUGCAUCAUCUUCUUGCUUUUGUUAGAGGUCAGCGCCUCUAAUAUCUUCUUUCUUGAAUUAUUUUAGCUUUUCGGGUAUACUCUUUAAGCCAAUUGUGAAUUUUUGCUAAUUAUUUUUAUUUUCUGAUAGUCAUAAGUUUGUUGUGCUUGUUUUCUUUCUUCCGAUUGAAUUGUGUGUUGGUUGGAUCUGUGACACAAUUUUCAGUUUUUUUAUGGAUUUUGCUGCUAGUUCUUUGUUAUAAAUAUUUUGCUUUUGAAGGUUAACAAUAGCCAAGACUGAAUAGGAUGAUUUUGGCGUUAAUUACUAUCUCAUGGUACCAUACCACCACACGCCAAAGCCACCAUCACAUCAUCAUCGCCGCCACCACGAGCCCAUAGGACAACAAAAGCUUGGAGCUUGGGUGGCAGAGGAGAUAGCACCACACGCCAAAGUCACCAUCACAUCAUUAUCGUCGCCACCACGAGCCCAUAGUAAUGGACUUGGAUUGUCUGCCCUCCUAGUUGUGGUGCCCUUCCAUGCCCUCCUAUUUUGUACGGUCACGGUUAAGCCACGUCAAUAUUUUAUAUUAAUUUUUUAAUGAGAUAAUAAGACAAAAAAUAAUUAAAAUAUAAAAUAUUGACGUGGCUUAACCGUGACCGCACAAAAUAAGAGGGCAUGGAAGGGCACCACAACUAGGAGGGCAGACAAUCCAAGUCCCAUAGUAAUCGGCAUAAAAUCAUUAGCCUUAAACGCCGCCAGGGGUUUCCGCCGACUGAGAAAAAGAUAAGAUUUGUGAACACCGAGGUCAUAUCGAUGGCAUCAUAUCAAAACUGAAAUCUUUUAAUCAUCCUCAUCAUUACAGCUAUCCACAAAUUGAAGCAACGAAUUGGGCAAGUGUGCAACAAAUUUCCAAUGUGGGUUUAAUGAGGUUUGUAGUUAAAGAGGGAUGCAAUUUAAGGAUCUGUUCUUGUAAUUUUAUCUGUUCACUUUUGCUUUAUUUGUUUUUUGGUUGCAUUGCCUCAAAAACCUUGUGCUUAUACAUGUAUACAGAACUUUUGGUUAAAACAAAAAGUCACAUAUACCGUAAUUAUUUAAAUUUUGUUGCAUAUCACAAUAUAUCUUUGUUCAUACAUUCAAACAAGCAUGGCAAAUACCGAGGAGGAACAUAGGAAAAAAAUUAAAAUUAUUGUUACAAUUGUAUAUUUUAUUGACAUGGUCAUGCAUUGGUAUAGUAAGAGUUUCCUUGUCAUAGAAUUUUCAAAUGAUUGGGAUCAAGAAAGACAACAUUUUUGAAACUGAUUAUUCUCACCACACAGUAGAAACAAUUUUUUUAAAAGCAUAGCAAUACCAAACUACUACUGUCAUUCUCCUUGGCGCUAUAUUUUUCCUUAGCGCCAUAAGUUUGCUAAGGUGAAGAACCAGCGUCCAUUAAUUUCCAUAUGGAGAGAGAAAGAGAGAGAGAAGACCAAGUAGUCUCAUAAUAUAGGUGGUGUUAAAUCACCUUCCGUGAAGUUGCAAUGGUGUUUGAAACAGUUAGUCAACGGAAAAGACAGAAUUGUGUAUUAUAAUGCUAUCUCGCUAUCCCUCUUUCGUUAAUGGAGGGCACCGUAUAAAUGUAUAAUUACUACAUAUAUAUCUCUGCUCAAUUACAAAAAGAAAAAUCCAUGCGCAUUAUUUUUAUUAUUAUUAGCUUAGAAAUGCAGAAAUUGUUCAUCUCUUCCCUUUAUGUGUGCCCGGACUGGUUUUCUUCAAACUAGUUGGAACAAGCCAAUAUGUGUGCCCGGAAUCCAAGUGUGGCGAUGAUCAAGGCCCGGCUAUCCAAUCCCCAUUGCGCAUCAGCGUCACACAUCAGUGUGGAAAUCCUGGGCUUGAAUGCAAUGGGGGAUAUGAGCAGCAAAUACUAAUAAAAUCAUUUGUCAAACACAUAGAUUACAAGCGUCAGGAAAUCCAAGUAUAUGAUCCAAGCAACUGCCUGCUGCUAAAGCUUGCUGAAAUCACAACCAUGCCACCCUCUCCCUUCUACUUGACAAAUUUUAGAAACCUUAACCUUACCUUAUUCAGUUGUCCUACUUCUGUUGCAAGAGAUAUGGAUUUGUAUCAAGUCCCCUGCCUCGGCGACCCUAGCAGCAGAAUUUAUGCCAUUGAUUCUACAUACGAAUUAGAAGAUUUCUUCCAGAAUCUACAAUCUUGUUCAAAGAUGUAUGAUGUUUUAUCAGUUCCAUUUGGCGAUUGGGCGGGUAAUGGCCGUGUUCUUCAAUUCAAAUGGUCGAAACCAAAUUGUACAGAAUGUGAAGCAGAGGGAAAGAGGUGUAAAUGGAAGAACAAUGGCACCAACAGUGAAAUUGAAUGUCAACACGUGAGCAAACCAAGUAAGGAGAACAUUUUAUAUUCAUUGCUAAUUUUAAACAUCGUUAUAUUUAUGUCUCAGUAAGUAUUAUUUGAAGGAUGUUGUCCGAUCCAUAUUUCUGAGGAUAUUAAUUGUCAUUCUCAAUUUAAUUUGCAAUUCUUUUACAGGCAACACAUGGAAAUUAGUGGUUACAGGUGGAGUCCUGGGUUCUUUGCUUCUUGUUCUACUGAUGAUUGCAGCAUAUCGGGUAUAUAGAGCUGAUAGAAAGGAAAAAGAGAGCCAAUUAAGAAUUGAAAGAUUCUUGGAGGAUUACAAAGCACUCAAACCAAGCAGGUAUUCGUAUGCAGAUAUUAAGAGGAUUACAAAUCAAUUCAAGGACAAGUUGGGCGAAGGAGCCUAUGGAACUGUCUUCAAAGGAAUGCUCUCUUCUGAAUUCUUUAUUGCUGUCAAAGUCCUCAACAGUUCCAAGGGAGAUGGGGAAGAGUUCGUAAAUGAAGUGCGAACGAUGGGUCAUAUCCACCACGUCAACGUGGCUCGCUUGGUUGGAUUUUGUGCUGAUGGAUUUAUACGAGCUCUUGUUUACGAGUUCUUCCCCAACGGUUCCCUGCAGGAUUUCAUUUCAUCAGCAGAUAG
rnacentral:lncRNA from 1 species